rnacentral:lncRNA from 1 species
UUAAGUUUUUUCAUGGUACGUAAUUUUGUUGUGCAGGUCUCGAGGAGGAGGAGGAAGAGAUGGAGGAGGAGGAGGUGAAGGGGAGGAGAGAGUGGAGAGCAUGGUGGUGCGGGGUAUUGGAGAUUAGAGGCGUUCGUGGUGACGGAGCCCGGGGAGGUGGCGCGGGCGAAGAAGAACGGGCUGGACUACCUCUUCCACCUCUACGAGCAGUGCCGCCUCUUCCUCCUCCAGGUCCAGUCCCUCGCCAAGGAGCACGGCCACAAGUGCCCCACCAAGGUAUAUAUAUAUAUAUAUUAAUAUUAAUUUCGUACGUGUGUGCGCGCGCGUGUAUAAUCUAUAUAUAUAUAUAUAUAUAUAUAUAUAUCAUAUCAUGCAUGCUGCUGCUGCAGCAUGCUAAUUAGCUGCUACUAAUAAUUCCGUAUACGCAAAUAUAUAUUAUAUGCAUGCUUACACCACCCCCCACACACACCAACACGCACGUGCACCGCCUAGCUAGCUAAGUGCAUUCAUUCGUUCAUCCGUUCCUUCGUCAAAUAAAAUAAAUAAAUAAAUAAUGAGAAUCAGCUACCUCCAGAUGGGCAUAUCGCAACUAGCCACGCGUCCCUAUGCUGCUAUCUACAGUUCUUUCUAAAAUAAAUCAAUAAUAAUAUAAUAUGAAAAUAAUAAUUAAAAAAAGACGCACGUACCACCACAAAAAAAAAAGAGAAAAGUACAGGGUCCACAUAGUAAAACUGUGAUAGAACAGGGACCAUCAUUUUCCUAAUAUUUAAUUUAAUUUAAUUGAGAUUGGAGGGAGUUGCGAGGCGACGUACUCGUUGCUAGCUAGCGCCGGAGUGGAGUCUGGGUGCAUGACUGGGUGGGGUGAUGAUAGAUAGAAAGAUGGAUAGAUGGAUGGAUAGAUGGACAGAAAAGCCUGCGUACGGACGUGUGCGCGUCGGGCGGAAGAAGUGGCCGACGUGUCGGAGAGCGAUUGGACGGAAAGCUGUGGGUGGCUUUGAGGGGGGGGGAGGCAGCCGUGAGUUGUCUUGUCGGGGCCUGACAAUUGCAUUUUCUCGGGGACGCCCCGCUGUUGGGCGGCCGCCACGUGUCCACGGAAGUGACCCGGGCCCCACGCGCGCGCUCCCGAAUGAGUGCGCAGCGGAUCUCCGAGACGGAGCACUGUUGCUGCAUCAAGAUUCGCACUAAGUCACAGUGUAAGUGUCGCCUGUGAAUCCACAGCGUUGACCGCGCGGCCGAUGUUUUUUGCAUUGUGUGGUUUUCUUUAAAACGUACCCUGGAAUGAUUAUUAGAAAAUUUUUGUUCAGUUUGGAGCAAAGCUCAAGUUAGAGGAUAUCCAGAACAAUAACAAUUAAGAUGCAUGCAUGCAAAAGUAAUUUAGCGUCUUUAAGCCUCCGUUUGGUUCGAAGUUAAGGAAAAAGUAGCUAUUCCAGAGAUAGGGUUAAAUUCAGGGUUAAAGCGGGAUUAAAAUUUUUUUGUGUUUGGUUGGGGGUUGGAAUUAGUUUAGAAUAAUGAAAAAUAGUGUUUGGUUGGAGUAGGUGGGAUAAGAAGAUAAUGAUUGAUAAAGAAGAAUAAUGAUUGAUUGGAAUAAGUGGGAUAAGAAGAUAAUGAUUGAUAAAGAAGGAUAAUAAUUGGUUGGAGUAGGUGAGAUAAGAAAGAUAAUGAUUAAUAAAAAUAGUAAAAUUAUUAAAAUAGCCUCACUGUAAUUAUUUAAAAUAAAUAUUUUAUUUAUUGUUUUAAAUAUUCUAUGUUUUGAGAGCCGUGCGGGGAGAGGGCGGGUGGGGUUUACUAACCCCACCCCAAACUGGGUUUAUCUGAUAAAAUCUGACGAUUUUAUCAGAUAAACCCAAACUCGAUUUUAUCAGAUAAACCCAAACUCGAUUUUAUCAGAUAAACCCAGUUUGGGGAAAUGCUUGCGUUUGGGGAUUAAAUGGGGGUUAAGGGGUUAUUCCACCCCCUAACCCCCAACCAAACGCAAGCUAAAUAUUCCAGCUGAGCUGAGUGUGGUAGGAUUGGUACCUCGAGUCGAGUUCUAGUUAUGUGUGGAAUCAUUUGUGUUUGGGGAUGCAGGUGACAAACCAAGUGUUCCGGUACGCGAAAAAGGUCGGGGCGAGCUACAUCAACAAGCCAAAGAUGCGGCAUUACGUGCACUGCUACGCCCUCCACUGCCUUGACGAGGAGGCGUCGAACGCCCUGCGGAGAGCCUUCAAGGAGCGCGGGGAGAACGUCGGGGCGUGGCGGCAGGCCUGCUACAAUCCGCUGGUCGCCAUCUCCGCGCGCCACGGAUGGGACAUCGACGCCGUCUUCAACGCCCACCCCCGCCUCUCCAUUUGGUACGUCCCCACCAAGCUCCGCCAGCUCUGCCACCUCGCCCGCAGCAAUGCUGCUGCUGCAGCAUCAGGACUCCCGCCGCCGCCGGCGCUGUUCUAGAUGGUGUUCAAGGAGAUUUAGGGUUUCUCCUGGGGUUUGCUGGACUUGGAUUAGAUGUUAGGUCCUUUGUGUACUCCUCUGGAUCCAACAAUGAGAAAGCUUUAUGAUGUAUUACUUAACUGAAUGCAGAACCAGGAACUUGGUUUAAGUACUAUAUACACAAGCUUUGGUUAUUCUAGAUCUUGCUUUAGGGACAAGGAUGGUUACUACUUAAUCAAUUUGUCGACUCUCCGCUGAAAUUUGUAGGUAUGGGAUGUGGUGCAAAAGUUUCUCUAAAUUCAUAAAAACCUUAUUUAUGAAAUAAUCCCCACCAAAAGCCCCUUAUGCGCUGGCAAAAUCAAAACUACGUUGAAGAUGAUACUCCCUGGAUUAUAACAUUGGCAACACAUUGUCCAAAAAUAACUACCAACAAACAUGGUUCUCCUAAAUACAUUACAAGAAACAAGCAAGAAAAUCAUUGGAAAGAAAGGUGUAUCAUUGAAGACCAGAUCAAAGUGGAAGCAUCAAGAUCAUCAAAACCUACCCGUAAACACUGCCCUAAUUUUCUUCAGAAAGAAUUCUAGAGUUCGCAAAUUAAUCAGUGAUCUUGAAAUUCCCCUCAAAUGCUUGGAUUCUAUCAUAUAUCACAUCAAGCUCUCAACACCCCUUAAGUUACUUUUGAGGUUUGGGCAUCAAGAUAUGUGAUUCAAUGCAUUCAGAGCAUGUCAAUGUUGCAGAACUUACAACUAUGUAAUCAAUAUAUGAUAACACCGAGCUUAAAAUCAGACAUCAAACUACAUAGACAUCAACAGGUAGCUCCUUGCUAAAGAAGGACGGCGACCAAACAGCUAUAAAAAGGACAAUAUUAUUAGAACAUGAAUGCCGAAUCAAAGGUUGCAAAUGCACUCAAUAUUCGAAGACACAAAGCUGAAUUACUCCUACGCAGAUAUGAAUGAUGUAAAUCACUAGAGUUGCAUAUUAAAGUACAAGUAUGUCGAAGAAUCACAUCAAGAGACUCAACACAAAAUCUUACAAAGAAAAGUAAGGUGAGCCGCUACUAAUAAAGAGAUUCUACUGUCCCUUCUGAUGUUCUGCAUUGAGUCUCUCCUAUUUUUUUUUAAAAAAAAAACAUCUCAGUGAGGAAAUAGCUCACCUUAUAUUAAAUGUUUACGAUAACUCUCUUCAUUCCUCAUCUGCGGGUUCCUCAUCUGUGUGGGAGACGGCAUGUGUUGGGUACCUCCACAUCACGUCGGCCCACGUACUUUGCCCGUCCGUGACCUCCUUGACAACUGAAGCAACCUCUUCGAUGUCUACACGGAUCUGCUCCUUGCUGUCCCGAUCACGGAUCGUCACACUCGUUGUGGAAUCCACAGUGAUAGCCAAGGGAACACCAAUCUCAUCCGUCCUAGCAUACCGUUUACCUAUUGAAGUACCUGAAAAGUAGUCCAAACAAGAGUGAUAAAGAUAGUUGAAACCAUAAUCCAUUCAAGGUAUUCAAUUGGGUCUAUGGUGGGAGGAAGAACACAAGCAAAGCCAAAACCAAGAAAUAGGUGCUUAAUGUAGGUUAACUUGUACAGCGGCAUGUCUAAGUGAACAAAUCUUAUAUAUUGCAUUUGCUAACUCUGACUACAGUAAAUUAGAUAUGUAGCCUCAACAAAGUAGCUUGGCGGUCGACUUGAGAACCAAAAUAAAAAAAUUAUGCUAACGAAAAAGCAGCAGGAAACAAGAUUAUCAAACAAUGAAGACUAGUAAAAUACCAGCAAAUCAACCCAGUUUAUCAACCACCCUAAACAAUUUGUUUCACACUAGCAUAAAACUUUAUGUAGGUUAAAGUACGAUAUAUUAUUAAUAUGUACUUUUCUGGGAUUGCCAUACACACCAAAAUCAUUUAACAUCUAUAUUAAGACAAACAGAACUGGUGCAAAAGGAUGCACUUAAUUAGCCUGUUAUUUAUGUUUCUCUAACAUACCUGUAAUGUCAAUAAUAUGUGAUAUACCAGCUGUUGUCAACGCUUUCGAAAUCUUUUUGGCAACAACAUCAAACUUCUCAAUUUUCACCAACGGAAAGACCGUGCAUUUAAUGGGAGCAACAAGUGGAGGGAAUCUGAAUACAUUCAACUGCUCAUCCUCUGCCUUGCUUGGCCGUUGGUAGAAACAGUGUUCAAAAAGGCAGUAUAUUAUUCUCCCAAUGCCAAAAGAUGGUUCAAUUACAGAAGGUGUAAAAACCCUUUGGUGUUCCUUUUUCUUCUCCAUUGAAAUAGAUACCAUGUUUUUCUUUAUGGUGACACUUUUGUUGAGAGUGCAGACAUGGAAUUCAACCUCCCCUUUGGACUCCAAAGCGACUUUCAUUUCCAAAGCUUCAGUUUCCUUCAUGGCCUGUAAAGCCGUGAUAAGUUACAAGAGAAACAACAAAGCAAUUAGAGAAAUACUGAGUUCCCAGAAGUAGAUUUUGAGAAGAAAUAGUUGCUUACUUCGAAUGCUUCAAUCACCAUCUUCUGGUUGCCUUUAAAUGCUAGUCCCAGCUCCUUCUUUGACGGGGUUAUAACCAAUUUCUGCAAUCAGUGAUGCCAAGAUAUAAACACGUUGACAGAAACAAAGAUCUGUCAUCAACAAAAGAGAUGGCAAACUAACUAAUAGAAGCGCUUUCAGACUCCCAAAGGAUGAUAAAGUACAACAAGCAUGGCACAAUGCUGCGGGGAAAAAAAUGAUGAUAUGUUGAAAAUAUGGUACAAUGUUUCACGGACAUAGCAUCUCAAGAAGAUGGAACAAAGGAGAAAAAAUAGACAAAAAGAUACUCACCUCAACCUCUCUAGGUUCUGGAAACUUCUCAUGCGCAACAAGUGGUACACCACUUUUUUCCUGUUAAAGAACAUUAGUGACUUAAAUUAGUAGACAACAUUAUGCGUCUCAUUGAAAGGAAUGAGAUAAUCUCGAAUAUAUAACAAGCAAUCCUUCUCCACUGUAUUCGAGAACUAAAAGAGGAUUGCAAACAACAAAAUUACAAGGAGAACUAACAGAUUUAUGUAGACAUGCAAUAUGCAGCAGAAUAUAUAUAUAAGAAAACUCAAGAUGGUAGAUUGAUCGUCCUUAGCCCAAAGCUUAGCCAGAAAAGAAAGGUAUAUUGGCCAACUAGCUAUGGAUCAAUUGCAACUGUGUACAUAAUCAAUCUCGAAAGUCCAAUAGUAACGCAUACCGAGUGAGCCCGUAGGUCGUAUGCGGACCUAUCAGCAAUACCAACACACUCAAUCCAGCCAUACGAGCACUCAAUUUCCGCAUCCCAGCAAUCAGCAGCAUAAUGAGCCAUCUCAUUUGGUAGAUGUUGCCGGAAGCGCAGACGGUCCUUGUCAAUUCCAAGUUGAGUCAAGAAAAGGUAAACCCUUCCAAUAAAGUAGCCAAGAGUUUCAUUGUUGAUGGUUCCCUGUCAAUGGUUAUAGUAAGCAGGCAAACUUUAAUAGGCAAAAAGAGACAUCCAAUAAAUACCCCCCAUAAAAAUUAUCAAUUGCUGUAUAUACAAAUAUCCCUGCAAAAUUGGAAUUUUCUUACAUGCCAGUCAAAAAAUCAAUUUCUUAUUUAUGUACCCUUGUUCUUACAAUAAUGCCCCCCUUUUAAAAAACCUUUUCUGAUAUGAAACCAACUUAGUCUCAUGGAUCAGAUGAACCUCAUGUUAAGAUAAAAAUACUCAUGCAAGAAACAGCACUUUCGAGGGGCAUAUAUGAACAUUCAGAUUGUAUAGGGGUUAUUAAGUACACAGAUAAGUAUAUGAUUCUGCAAGGAUACAUAAAUAAUUAACUGGUUGCAAACAUCAAUGCAUGAGGCAUAUGAGUUCAGUAUCAAAUGUGGCCAGAAAAUGAAAUAAAUCAGCUUAAGACAACAAACCUUAGAGACAGCUUCUCCAAGUUUUUUCUUUACGGCAGAUUUCCCUGUGAGUUGCUCCUCCCUUGGGAACAUCAAGAAUUCCAAAUCAGCAACAUCACCAAACUUUGGGUGAGAUUUAUCUUCGGGGUCAACAAAGUGCUCAAUCUCAGCCAGAGUGAAUUCACGGACCCUCAAGAGACCUUGACGGGGUGAUAUCUGAUAACCAAACAAGAUGCAGUUUGUUUACAGCAGGUACAGUCUAACCAGAGAUGCGACAAGUCAGUAAAAUAACACAUUGCCGCAUGUAAUGAGAAUUAACAAAAUGUUCGGACUUCUAGAAACAGAAACCUGAAUGGACAAUCCGAUAUCAAUUGACCUAAACUAAAAAGGAUGUUUCCUUAUGACUAUAGAUUGAAAUUUGAAGCAGCAAGACACAACACUGAGGCGAUCCAAACUAGUGCUCUACGAAAAACUGAAGGUGAAUAGCACACCAAAAUGAAAUAGAUAACUCAUUUCAAUGUUCUUCUGAUAAAGAAUCACAAAAGAUGAGGCACUCCAACUACCGAUCUCACCUCUUGAGGAAGAUGUAAGAAACACAAGUUACAACUAGGUUCGCAAGACAAGAAAAAACCUGUAUCUAAUAUCCAUCAGAAAUAGAACUAUUAGCAUCCAUCAGCAUGCGUAGUUACAACAGCCCUAUUUAAUAAGAUAAAGCACCAUUCUUUAAACACAAUGGCACAAAUCAAAUUAACAAGAAAAGCAUUUCACAGGAUUGAAGGACUCAAACCUCAUUCCUAAACGCCUGACCGAUCUGCGCAGCUGCGAACGGAAGUUUGUUACCAUUGUAGUAAUACAAGUCUUUAAAGUUCACAAAGAUUCCCUGCGCUGUCUCCGGUCUCAUAUAUCUAUAACCAACGAAGACAUAUUACGACCAAAUUUAAGAUAAACUAAAUGAAUGCAACUUAAAAGCUCAAUAUCCUCACCCAGGACUCAAACCCGACGGACCAAUGGACGUCUGGAACAUAAGAUUAAAAGGGUAGGGAUCCGACAGCGGGUUCUUAGUGUCGGGAGCAGUAAUCCCGUACUCCUUUAUCUUCGCGCCCAUCUCCUCAGGGGAGAGAUCAUCCAACACGGCGAGAACGUGCUGAAACUCUGCCGCCUUCUCCGGCGGCAGCAAUGCCGCGUCCUUCUCGAGCUUCUCCUUGCAGAAGUCCUUGAUCAAGUGGUCGGCCCGAUAGCACGUGCCGGUCUUCUCAUCCUUAACCAUCAAGUCCGUGAACUUGUCCACAUGGCCGGAGGCCUUCAAGACGACCUCCGGCGUAACGCAGGGGCAGUCCACCUCCAGCAUUCCCUCCUCCAACACAAAAUGCUGAGGCACAAACAAUGCAGUGCAGCAGUAGAGUGGGAAUUUUACUCGUCAGUCACUAUCUUAACAACAAAAUAAGCUCCAUCUCCAAUUAUGGUAAUUUUGCUACCGAAUUCGCUACCUUAAUAAUGCAAGCUAGCAAAUGCUCGGGAAGGAAUUUCUUACUCCGUAUUAGAUAAAAAGGGGGCAAAAACCUACUUGGGAGAUGGAGGUGGCCGCUUAAUUGUUGGUUCCGAAUCAAAGUUGCGAACACGGUGCAGUAGCAAACAUAAAAUUCAAGCAUAAUUUAGUGAAGAGAACGAUUAGUAACUGAGAAUCGUCGUCGCCGUUGCCCUGGCCUGUUUAGGUGAAGAUCGAGAUGGUGAAUGAAUUACCUGGCGCCAGAAGGCGAGGACGUUGGACUUGACGGCGCAGCCGGGGGGGCCGUAGUCGAAGAGGCCGGCGACGCCGCGGUAGAUCUUGAAGGAGGGGAUGUAGAAGAGCCGCCGCUCCAGGGUGUUCACCACGGCCUGCCGGAGCGCCUCGCGCCCCGCCACCGCCGCGGCGGCGGAGGACUGGAUCUGGCGGGAGAGGGCGGCGGCCUCGAGCUUCAGGGCCUUGAGUGCGUCCACGGCGGCGUCGAUCUCCGCCCUGCCGGCGCCCGCCCGGGCCUUCAGGGCGCGCACCGCGUCGCCCUGCGCGUCCACCGCGGCCUGCUUCUCCGCAAGCGCCUCGCGGAGGGACACCGAAGAGGCGGAGGCGGAGGCGGAGGCGGAGGCGGAGGAAUCCAUCCCUUCUGCUGCUCCGGCGGCGGCGGCGGCGGCGGCGGAGGAGAAGGGGAGGAGGAGGAGGGUUUUAGAAGGGGAUCGGGGUUUGGGAACGAGGGAGGAGGAGAAAAGGAGGAGCGCGAGGCGCAUGAAGGAUUGGGAGGGGAAGUGGAAUGGCCGAAUGGGAACGGGGGAGGAGAGUAGGAGUACGUGGCGCGACGUGAAGAUGCCUAUAACUCGUGUAUUUUCCCUUACCAAGUGGGGACAAGGGGAUCGGAGGGUAAGUUGAUCCGACCCGGAUUCCAAGUGAUCCGAGCUUUCGAACUCCGAAUCUCCGAUCGGAUCCAACCUAAUUAGCCCACCCGCUGAGCAAGUGAGCAUAAUGUUGACGUUAAUUCUUAAAGUUAUGUAAAAUUAGAUUCCUUGUUGACUUGUUGUGUCCUUUUUGUGUCGCUUGAAAUUUUGAGCUCUCCUAAGGCUAUCUACUUCGUGCCAACUUGACCAAUAGCUCAGUUAGCCCACAUGUAGCUCGUUUAUACCAGUUUACCCCCCCCCCUCUCCUCUCUCUUCCCCCCUUUUUUUUCUUUAAAAAAUAUAAAUUCAACUAAAAAUAUAAUACAAUUAUACUCCGAACUUCAAAUCUCAAUACCAACUAUCAAAUUUUUAACCACCUAUAUUCGAUACGAUUAACCACUUUACCGCUUGUUAAAAAGCAUAACACCAAUAUUUGGUUACAAGUUCGACUUUCCGUAGCAAUCUAACGACAAAAUAUCGCUCAAACUUCAAUUUGUGACAAUCAUUUCACUCACUAAAUCAUUACAUAUGUAGGAACUGACUAAGCAAAAAGUAAACCACAAGAUCAGCAAAAAUUGGCCCAAACCGUACUUCUACAGAAAGAAGGGCUUAGAAUAAGAUUUCCUUCAUGAAAAAGAAAAAAAAAAAAAAAAGAAAGUCGAUCGAUACAACAGCACGAGAAUUGGAAUUCAUUCACAAAUUCCCUGAGACGAAUUUUUCUCUGUAGGGAAAAGUACUUGUUCGCUUUCUCAAAGGGAGAGGAAAAUGGUAAAAUUGACACAGCCUAAACAAGGUAAAGAAUAGAGGGGACCUGUAGAGACCAGUACUAGCAUAUACAUACGGUUAGAAGGAAGGGAAGGGCGAGCCACCGAAAGCAAAAUGAAACAAUGGAGGAAAUAUGACACAUCUGCUAUAAUUUCGAUGAGCUAAAAACGGAGGGGAAAAAAUAUAUAGAUAUAUCAAUUUAGCGGCUGAACAUCUCUCGUCCUCAUGUAACUCAUGAACUGUCCCGGCAACUCAGCGAGAAGUGAUUGAACCACCGACAUCUCUCCAUCUGCAAGUGAAGAAACUGGUAUCCUUAGUUAAUUUUCUCUAUCAAAUUUACAAUCUUUCAACUUUGAAAUCAUUUUCCAAUUUGAUAUGUAGUAAGAAGUGACACUUGCAUUGAAAAAAACCACUUUGAGCAAAGGAUGCGAAAAGUAGGAUGCAUGUACAUACGCUGUACAUCCCGUAAAGGAACAAACUGCACUAUAUCUCGUGAUGCAACCCGUCCGGUUGAACUUUCAAGUCUCUCUCCUUUGUCUGCGUCUAGAAUCUGCGACAGCAAAAUAGCACGAUCAGAACCCAGGCUUUCAAUAAAGAAGAGCUUUCUUGCCGCGCUAGUUAGUUCUUGAAACUUCUACUAGAGUGGUAAAAAGAAACAGCGAGUAUAAUCUCACAUACCUCCAUUUCUUUGAAAUCAGCCCCACCAACUCCAACAAUGAGGAUCGACAAAGGUAGAUCGGACGCCUUGACUAAAGCAUCUUUAGUUUCUUGAAGAUCUGUUAUCACCCCAUCCUGGACCGAAGUUUUGUUGGUACGUAAAUUAGCAACUGCAUGUUUAAGAAUAGAGACGAGUACUCAGGUUAGUACAAGAGUUACCGUGACUAUUAACAGUACAAAGUACUUUUGUCGUCCGCUAGUGAAGGAUCGGCUUGCAAUCGAUGCAGCAGUGUUGAUUACUGGGCCAAAAAGGGUAGGGCCCGCCAGUGACACAUUGUAGAGGGCACUGAUAUAUGCAGACAUUAUACCUUGAAUCCCCUCAACCUAAGAUCAAUCAGAUAUGGUCAGAUUUUUUACAAACUUGAUUGAGCCUAGAAGAUAAGUAGAACCACACGAUAAAGAAGAAAGACUAAAAUAUUCUUUAUUCUUAAAACAAUGAAGACCAGAAAAAAGUAGACCAAAUUUCCUCCCAAAAUCAGAUGGAUUAAUUUUCUCUUUUGAAAUAAAUAAAUAAAUGCCAAUUGAAUCACGCCUCAUUGAUCUGUAAAUUGUAAUAACAUAAUGAAAAGAAAAGAACCUCAGGUUGGUAGGUGCUUCCAUUCAAGUUAAAACAAUGAGAGACUGGACCGUCGAUCGGUCUUGCUCCAAAACCCCAGGCAGGAAAUCGUUUAUCCGAGUCAUAAAAUUGCAAGACGUCUCCAACUUCUAAUAUUGCCUGCAAAAAAAUAAAAAAAUAAAUCAAGUUGCAGGUUAUACAUCACUUGUGCAGAACUGCAGCUAACUACACUCUGACGAAAGAAAUGCAUCAAACAAUUCCUCACUCUCUGAUAUGCAUUCGGCCGACCUGUGGGAUCAAUGUAAUGCAAGGAAUCUGGGAGGCGUGGAUUUCCAUUUGAAGCUAGCAAACAACAAAGAUCUCUGUUAACAUGAAUACAUGAUUAUAAAAAAUAAGGAUAUAUUAGUUUGUCAAAUAUGAAAGUAAUGUAAAACUCACUAAAUUGGAGAAGCAUACCUGUGAAGUCUACGGCAACCAUGAAAUUCAUUUCAAAUCCACCAGCAAUAUAAUCAAGGAAGGUCUGCUGCUUGCUCUCAGUGAAUUUCUCCACAUAUAUCUGACUCGUCAAAACCUAUAAGCAAGAGAAAAAACUUGUAUCAACAAAAAAAAAAGGAAGAAAACUUUGAUCAUAUUCUGCAAAGGAGUGUUCAACUUACAGCAUUCCUGAUUGUUACCUUAUUAUGAUGAUCAUGCCCAACACCAGUGGGGAAAAACAAAUUCUCACCACACUGACUAUGAUGAAGGCUUUCCAACUGCGCCAACGAUUUCACCACUUUGCUGUCAAAUAACAUGGAAAUAAUUCAGAGAAAAGGAGGAAAAACACUUGGAUUAACAAGAAGCCAUAAAUGCAACAAGCCAUUACCCAAUCAAAUCAUGUUUGCCAUUGCUAUUGAAGUUAAAGCACUCUAUAUUUAGAGGGUUUUCCUGUAAUGUGACAGUUGAUUGUUAGACAAGUAAUUAAAUCAGACCCUUCAACAGUUAGAUAAAUGUCAAAUAAGCUAGUCCGUAGUGGUUGGCACAGCUAUAUUACUGCAGGGAUGUUCUAUUUUCAGAUCCUGGAUGGUCUGCGAAAUUUGGCGGAGGUGAUCUUUGCAAAAUGGUUGGCAGUGAUCCAACCUCCAUUUCAGCAGACAACGGAGAAAAAGAGAAAAGAAAAGAAUGGUCGUGCCUUGCUUCCAAUUUGUUGGAGAUUCAUAACCAUCGGCUUCCAUAAAGGAUUUAGGUCGUUUUUCCUUACUUCUGUCUUGCAAACUGGAAUGGCUACACCACUCUCCGUUAUCUUCGAUAUAAGUAAGAAAGGAUCCUGAAUUGAAGACAAUUCAGCAUCAGUACAAUUCUUUGCUUUCUGUAAAUAUUUCUCAAUAAAAGAAGACAGAAAUUUACGCUUUUUGAGAAGAGGUCCUUAUUUUCUAAAUCCACACAGCGGAAAACCAUCUCCACCAUGGUUUUUGAACCAACACACUCUUCUGCAUGAACAGUCAAUGUGCCAAACUUUUUAGGAUGUGGUCCUUGCUGCUCCCUAUGGUCAAGAUUUAGAGUCAACAAUCCAGUUGGUCUAGUAACAACCUGCACAAGAACCAAAAACAGCUAAUAUUUUUGAGAAAUAAGCAGCACAAAGUGAAACAUACAAUACAAGAAUAACUUAACGGAAGUCACAAAUAGUUAUUACAAAGCAAUGAUGAACUUUCCGAUACUGUAAAAUAAUUAUCUUUACAUUAUGCAGAAAAUAGAAGAGCAGGAGUCGCCAAAACUACAUAGAUUAAGCAAGAAAAUUAGUCUAAGCCAUAAGCCAUAGGAUUAGUCGCCUAAACCUGUAUACAUUGCUUCACAAAACAAUGCAGAUGAUUCCUCAGAUAAGUAGUUAGUCAAUCUAUGCCAAUAUAUAGGUGUAUAACACACAAUGUUCUACUUCCUACUUCAUGUUCCAACCUACUAAACAGAGGUUAGAUGACACAAUGGGGUGUUGUAUGCUUUACUUUUCCAAAGAAAAAUAAUAUAAAACAGCCAAUAUUUUUGCAAGUUAACAAUAAUUUGUAGAUUUCAGAUUUUAUAUGUUAAUAACAAGCUUUGGCUGGUAUGACAAGUGAAAAGUGCAUCUAGUAAUAUCUAGACCCAAGAAAUCCAGGUCUAGGAUGGGCAAAGCUUCGGCCGUUUUAAAUUUGCCCAAUAGGGCCCAACCCAAACUGGAAAUUUCUUGUAGCUAAUUUAAGCCCAAGCUCAGUCCAAAUUGAUUGGGCAAUUGAUGCCAUGGAGAGAGAAAAUCUCAGGCAACUCAAAAAAAAAAAAAAUGGUCCGGAUUUUCUUGGGCAUCCCAGCCUGGCCCUGUGAACCUCAUUAGGCUUAACCAAAUCAACACUUAAUCAGGCCGCACAGACCGGGUCAGGCUGGUCAGGUCAAAUUUUCUCAGGUCUGCUUACAUCCUUGCAAGACACAGAAUAUAAUGAUAAACUUGGAUAACACAAAUACCCAUAAUGCAGAUGUUUGAGAACUAAUUGCACAUGAACUUAAAGCAAGUCACUUCAAUUGUAAACUUCACCAACGUGAUUUAUGUAUGAUACCUCAGAUAGAAGACAUUGAGCUUCUCCAAGAAAUUGUUGUUCCUCCAACUUAAGCAUCUGCAUGGCGUGAAUUUUUUAACAAUUAUUAUUGUACAUUGACUUAAAAAACAGCAAAAGCCAUAGGAAACUUGCGCUUUGUAAAAUAAUCAUAAGGUAUAAAAAUUGCUUGAUACUAUACCAUAAAAUAAAAUGUAGAGCAAUGCAGAAAAACUCAAAUUGCUAUCAAACUGUCAGCAAGAAACCUAAAAUGAUAGAGACCUAAAAUGCAUGUAUCCAAUUUGCACCAAACUUUCCUCGGUAGAACUGUCUCAGGAGGUUUUUAACAAAGAAACCUAGAAUUGGAAAGAAAUUCUAUUUUUACAAAAUUUUCGGAAAAUGGAUAUGCAGAACAUAGUAAAGUAAUUAGAUGCUAGGCAACCAGCCAAAUGACCAAUAGGCAAUAUUCAUGAAAUUUCAGUAAAAUACUUCACCAAUCAAACAGUGCAACAGGCUGCAGCCCUGCUAGACAGCCCUACACCAAAAAGGUAAGGGUUACUAGUCGAUGAAUACCAUUAACCGACUGAUCUACUGGUAUCUGCCUCUGAGGAAGAACAAGUUUUUCUGGAAGCUUUUCUACAUAAGGGUUCCGCUUGUCUGAUGUUUCUCAGUAAAGGAUCGCUGCAUGGAUAUUAUAUUUGUUAUCAGGAAAGAAGUCUACAAGAUUAGAGACCUUUCUUUUUAUUUCUUUCUCACAGCCCAUAGGACUAUAGGAGUCCAAAUCUCUGUUUAUUAUCUGAGAUGAUGCAUAUUCAGUAAAUUAUUGUCAGCAGCUAUAACAACAAAAUCAAAGAACAACUAACCAUUUAACUUCAAAAUCAGCAAUAUUCAAAUAAAAAAAACAAUAUGGAAAUAUGAAAAAUAAAAUAGACAGAUAUCGAAUUACCUUCUCUGGCACAUUAUGAAACUGUGAAUCAACAUCAUAUACCUGAAACCUGUGACAUACAGUAAAUUUACAGAUAACGAUGAAAAUGUAAUUAAUACAAUAAAGGAAAAAAAAAAUAGUAGUAAUGAUGCUUAAAAGAAGGAGCGUCUACACUGUUAAAAACAGUCCUUAGAUGUCGAUAGUGUAGAAGCUUACACCAAUGGCUGAGUAACCUCAAAUUGAUAAUUCACAGUGAUCUUCGUAAUCCAUGAAGGAUUCAGUGAAUUCAAUAUUACUUCUGAGCGACCAAUCUCUUCAAGAGUUCCAUCUCUUCUCUUUGCAAAAAUGACGGCCAUAGGGUCACUCUACAAAAAUAAAUCUGGAUCAUAAGUGAAAUACAUGCGCAUAAUUGUAUUACUGGCAAUUGAUAGCAAUUGAAAAACACUAAAGAUGGUUAUAUUACCGGUAAUUAAAUGUAAAUAGGAGAAACUAAAUAUAUAACAAUAAUUGAUAGCAACAAGAGAUAUCAUUAUAAAGAACUUGAUAAUUCCACAAUUAAAUAAAAAUAACUCAACCAGAAAAUCAUAUAAUUCUUCAUACUUCACAAUUAGCAAGGGAACAAUUGAUGUCGAUUCCAUGUACUCGUGGAUGCCAAUUGUAACAAGACAAACUAGAAAUAAGUUGUGAGGAAACUAUGUACCAGCAAAAGGAUAGAGAAAAUUAGAAAAGAUAGAACAUGUAAGAACAAAGAAAAGGAUGCAUGCAUGUAUGACAACCAAGUCAAAUAGAUCGAUAACCUUGUAAUACAAGUUGGAGUAUAAAGCUUUGUACUAAUUGCAAGAUAGAAAUCACUCGGCAAAGAAAAGAAAUUAUACCUUUGAAAAGACGUCUUGAUCAAGCAAGUUCGCUGCAGAUAGCGAUAGCUGUACAGGAUAAUAUGCAAGUCAGUAUCAAUAUAGCUGAGCAUUAACAUUUCACUAGCACAUCCUAACUAAGCCAGAGAACUAAGUUUCAAACAAAAUUUAGUAGCAGUACUUCAGGAUGAAGCUCUUGGGCAUCUCUUCUGAGCAAUACAGUGUUAGAGGUGACACAAAAAGUGCCAUGCCAUUUCUAGACAGUGGGGUCCAAACUAAAAUCCAGUGACUAUCUACCCUAGUUUUUAGCUAUAUAGCAAUUUUAUCGACCAUAACACAUCACAUGAAAUGUUGAAAGCCAGUUAAAUUCAGAAGAUAUAGUUUGGAAUACAUGACACGAGAAAUGUCUGUAAAGAAUUAGAUAGCAACUAAAUUAAGUAUGACAUGCAACAAGGCUUUGUCUCAUAAUUCCAAAAACCAUUUCUAUUACUUCAAAAUUUGCUCCUCUCUCAAUUGGCUAGCUUUUUUACUUCAUCAUUCACUGAAAAAUCAAAUACUUUGCCGGAUACAAUCUGCAUAAAAGAAUUCAAUUCUCACGAUCAGAAACAAAUGAAACGAUCUUGACAUACAGUUCGCUCUAUCUUCAGUAGCUCAGUAAGCAUCUACAGUCACGAUUCCUUCCACACACUCCGAAACCACAUUUUCUCAAGUAAUAAACCAUCAAAUACACUACAAACGCGAUGUAAAUGCUAACAAAAAUCUAGGGUUUUGUCAGAGUUCCGAGAUCAGAGAACCUCACCUCGAUCUGGGAGAAGGGAACCCCGCGCGACCUGAGGAAGUGCUCGACGGCGUCGGCGGCGCCACCGCCGAAGCCACCGUCGUGGAAGGAGACGGCGCCGCCGCCGCCGAUCCCUACGGGACCGUCGUUGGAGCAGCAGUUCCCCAUUUCCGCGUCGAUCGGGAUCAAAAGCGAUCGCGAGCGACGGAGAUCGCGAGAAGAGGCGGCGGCGGAGGAGAUCUACAGGCGUCGGCCGAGGCGGCGGCGGCGGCGGCGGCGGAGAGGGGAGAGGGGAGAGGGGAGGAGCAUCGAGAGGAGGGUGAAAGAGGAGGGAAAGCGCGUAGAAGAAGACGAAGAGUGGGGGAGGAGAAAACAGAGACUAGUGUUGGAUUAGUGUAGAACUGAAAUGACGGUUUUGCUCUCGUGCGUCCCUCGCACUUUGCGCCGUGGAUCCGGGGUAAAUUCGGGAAAAGGGGAAUGAGAGGGGCGUUAUGGUUGGGGAAGUGUGGUCGCGGUCACGGGCAUUGGUUUGUUUCCUAUAACAGGUAAAAUACAUGCAUAGUCCCUGACAUAUCACAAUAUUGCAUUUUCGUUCUUAAGGUUUAGUAAAAAUAUAAUUUUAGUUCUUCAUCAAUUUACCUCAAAGAGAAUUAGCAGACCCUUCCAAGAUAAAAGUCGAUUGACUAGAGACUAAAAUGAAAUAGUUGUCCACGGAUGUCAACUCUUUCCUCUAAUAAUGAGAAUAAAAACAUAAUUUAUGUAAAAGUUAGAAACAAAGUAUUUAUAGAUAUCAAGUAUGGAGUAUCCGAAGUUAUUCAUACAUUUUUACUGAAUUCUACAGAAAGUUUAGUUGCUUACCAAUCCACUUUAGCAUAGGUGAAUAAGGUACUCGGUUAAAAACUUUAGGUCCAAAACGCACUCAUUCUCCCAACUCUUUUCUCUCUUCAAUUGAUUUGUUCUCCGCGCAAGCAAAUGGACCACUAGAGGGGGAGAUCCAAAAUGGUCCUCACCACUUCAAUGUAAUUUAAACUUUAACCCAAUCUACUAUCAUUAGUAGCGAGAGAUAUUUGUACAAAAUAUAAAUGUUUGUCGUUUAUUUCCAAGAGCCUUAUGAACAUUGAGUGGUUCCCUAAUCAACCCAGUUAAAAAAAGAAGAGAAAAAGAAGGGAAAAUAUUGAUGAUGAUGAUAAUGAUGGUGGUGGUUUAUGUGAUAUGAUAUAAGUAGCAAAAAGUGACGCAGCUUAAGUGACUCUGGUUGCUUAACUGCUACUGCUUGUGGAGCCGACGAGAACCGAAUUUAGUGGUUGGUCGGUCCAAGCUCUCGAAAACAAGUCUUUAUUGACCAAAUCCUUGAGGGGAUGUUGGCCUCUUUUUUUCUUUUUUUUUUUUUGUGUGAUUCAUUUUUAUUUUUAUUUUUUUUUGGCUCGUGCUAUGGUCAAGAGGGAUAUUUGACUAGUGGAGUUUACUGCUUUACUUGAUUGCUAUUCUUCGGUUCUGCUUGUUCACAAAUUCUGGUCAAGACCUGGUCCACCACGUGGCCGAAACUUGCGUCCUUAUUUCUGCCUGCCACCAUUUUAUAGCAUGAGACGAGAAAAAGACUACCGAGGAAGUUUCAAAUUUUUAUAUUCGCCUCAUAAUCUACUAAAAAACACCGCAACUCAAAGCAGAAUCAGAAGCAGAAAAAAACAGACUAGAAACUACUCCGAGAGGAUACUAAUGGAUAGACCGAGUCCCUAUCACAAAGGGAGCAGACUAGAAACUACUCCGAGAGGAUACUAAUGGAUAGACCCGAGUCCCUAUCACAAAGGGCGAGGCCAUAGGCUAAAAAUCAAGUCCACAAACAUCUCUGUGAGAAACAGAAAAAUGCUUUCCCAAUCCUGCUUAUUUGCAUGUUUUGCGCAGAAUGGCGCAUUGGGCACAUCUUAUUUUCCAGAAGCCUGGGACCUUUACGCAGAUAAAUCACUCUGACACCAUCCGCCCUCCGUGUCCAUUUACACAUAAACAAGCGUGACCAUAGCAUUACUCUGAACAAAAAUUGAGAACUAAGCAGGCGAUACAGGUCAUUGCAGCCAGAAGUUACUCCAGAAAAAAAAAAAUGAAAAACAUUAUCCGCGAACAAAGAUAACAAAGUUUGCAGAGGGGAAGGUUCUUUUACAGCAACUAGGAAGAAGGUAACAUCUUCAGCAUCCACGGUACAUUGACAGCUUAAGAAACUGGUCGAUGUAUAGAACAAGAUGUAGCUCAUACUUCAACCUGAAGAACAACUGGGCUUUUUAUCAAACUAGUAUUACACCAACAAAUAAGCGACUAGCUUAAAACGAUGCACACUUUGCAAGCUCUCGUUUGCUCGGAUGAGGCGCAAUGUGCUUCUUCUUCUUCUUCUUCUUCCAAAGUUUAAGCUGGAAAAAAAAAGGAAAAGGAUGGGAGAGGGUCAAUAGUAGGCCUUACAUAUUAUUAUGCAUCAAGGAAGAAAAGAUAAUGUAAACAAGCUUAAGUAAGGCAAACCAUUUAGAAUAAGCAGCAAUGUCCUCGAGCUGACUCUCAGCGAUAUGCAGGUGGAGGGCCGGCAAAUGAGUAGAGAGGCGAGACGGGCAAAUUUUGCAAAUUGGCCCUUCUAGAUACUGUCUCAUUGUAUGAAUGAUUUGGAUUUUCAUAAGUUGAGGAGGUUAAAUAGCUUGAUUGAGGUGUGGCUCGGUUGGUGGGUCGCUCAGCAUAGUACAGCUCUUCCGCAUGGUCAGCACGGGCAACUUCCACAAGCUCUCUUGCUGUUAGAAACCUCUGAUCCCUUGCGUGAUGUUCAUCUCUUGGACUUAUCUCGGGAACCAGCCUAUAACUAUCAGAAGGGGAAAAAGAAAAAAUAUAAACACAGAUCAACAUCAACGACGAACGAUUUUUUAAAACUAAUAAUAAUAUUCUAUCUGAGAACUAAAAAAGAAUACCAAAAUAAAGUUAAUUCCAGGUGAAAAUAUGUAAAGAAUAUUAAUGCAACGUAACUAGUUACCCCAGAAAUCUAAUAGUCAAUCCGUUCUGAUAAGAUUCCCAAGUUGAAGUACCCAGUUAUUAGCGUGCCGUGUUGAUCAAAUAAAAUAUAGAAUACCAAAAUGACGAUCCCUGUAGAGCAUUUUCUACUCUUUACGCCUUCAAGAAUGAACAACAAAGCUAGGGAGAGAAUUAAUAAUCAAGGAUAUGGACACAGGCAGAGGGAGAUAGUCAUACAUAUCAUACAUGAUAAACAUGACCUUGUUUCCAUUUUUAACAUUUCAAUCAUUUCUAUGUAUUCGACUGUAAAGGAAAAGCAUAUUAUUAUCUAUUCCUAAACCAGCAUGCUAGUAUCCGCUUCUUCAUAGAUCCCGGAUCUUCUCCUAUAACCAUUAAACUUCAGCCCAUGUGAAUUUUUCUGCGCAAUUAAAUGAGAAAGCCCCUCACAUAGGCAUUAAAAUUAUCCAAUUCUGAAACCACUCUCAAUCACAGGUAAAUAAUGUUGAAAAAGAGUUGUAAAAUUUAGUUCUACAAAGUUCAAAUAACCCAGAUCAUGUUUAACAGUGUUGAUCGAUGAUUUGAACACCUCAUUACCAAGGACUUGGUACUUCUAAAAGUAUUCUAGCUCAAUUAAUUAAUUAAUUAAUUAAUUAAUUAAUUGUAUAUAUAUAUAUAUAUAUAUAUAUAGAGAGAGAGAGAGAGAGAGAGAGAGAGAGAGCGCAAAGCGACAAUAAUUUUAGCAAUAAACAAAGGCAUUUACUUCCAUAUUGGUUUUAAUAAACGGGCCUCCGAAUCGACGGUCAAUACCAUUAAAAUUUAAACAUGAUCUACACUAUUUGAACUUUAUAAGACCUGAAUUUCAUGAUUUUCAACAUCAUCUACCUAGUGAUCAAGUAGUCUCUAUUCACCUUAUAGUAGCCACUAAAAACAAUCAAUGUCGAUAAAAAAUAAAAUAAAAUAAAACUGUCGUUCUCUGUCAGCUUAAGCUUCUGAAGAACAACAGUUGUUUCAAAUUAUUUUUAACAUGGUAUUAGAGCAGGAGGUUAGAGUUCAAGUCCCACUAGGCUCCUAGCUUCAUUUAAUUUUCUCCUAUUUAAAUUUAAUUCAAGUCCACGUCUUAAGCCAAUAAAAAGUCUCGAGCCCAGAUACGAAGAAGAGUGGUAAAUACAAAGUAUAAAAAUACUGUUCUUUGUCAACUUAAGCUUUUGGAGAACUUGAAUAAUGGGCAACUUAUGUCGAAAAAUCAUAAAACUCCGACCCUAAGAAGUUCAAAUAGCCUAAAUCUAGUUUUACAGUGUCAAUUGACGAUUUGAAAGCCCAAUUCCAAAAAUGAUGCGUAUCUCUCUCUAAAGCUGUCCAAAAUAUUCGAUAUUCCAUACCUGACACGGACCGUACCCGGACCCUACCCAGACUUGAACCGGACCCGAUAAAAAAUGGUAUAGCAUACGGGUAAAAAAAAAAUUAUUCAUUAAAGUUUCGGGUAUGGCUCCGGAUACUUUAUACCUAUACGUGACUUGGACCUAACUCAAACCCGACCUUUUAGCUACCGUUUGGUUCGGGGUUAAGGAAAAACUAGUUAUUCCAGGGAUAGAGUUAAGUUCAGGGUUAAGGUGGGGUUAGAGUAUUUUUGUGUUUGGUUGGGGGUUGGAGUUAGUCCAGGAUAGUAAAAAAUAGUGUUUGGUUGGAGUAUAUGGGAUAAGAAGGAUAGUGGGUUAUUAUGAAUAGAAAAUAGUGUUUGGUUGGGAUUAGGUGGAGUUAGCUAACCCGGGAUAACACAUUUGAGGUGGGGUUAGCUAACCCCACCCAUUUUUGAGGAUGCUUGGGAAUAAUAUGGGGGUUAAGGAGUUAUUCCACCCCUUAACCCACCAACCAAACGGGGGCUUAAUGGGUAGGGUCCGGAAGAGUUUCCAAAUCCGAACCAUAAACUCGACCCAUUGAAAUACUCGGUAGUAAAUAAAAAAAUUUGAAGUUGAGGAAUUAAUUUCAAUAAGACUUAAAGAUGAAGAGUCUCUGUAUAUUUUCAUCCUAGUGAAAACCUUAGUCGCUUUGUUUACUCCAUUUUUAUUUUUUUAUUUUACUCAUUUUUUUAAUUUUAGUUGUUUACUGCUUGAAUCUUUCUUUUGAACGAAUUUUAUUGGACUUUGGUGCAACCAAUUAGAACGCAAGUUUUUUUAUAGUGAGAUUUAUAAUUUGUUCAUAAAAUGUUUAAUAAAGUCUAUAAAAAAAUAUAUGCAUACGGAUAUCCGUACUUGAUCUAGACCUGACCCGACCCGUACCCGAUAUAUACCCAGUCUUAAGCGGGUAGGAUAUGAGUAGUCACUACCCAAACCCACUGAAAUAGACCCAAUAGGUAUAUUAUUAACUUUAGUACCCGGAUCCGGACCCGAUCUGAAGUUAAAUGGAUAGAGUAUAUAUAUAUUUUUUUAUCCACUUCUUUAGGAUAUGGGUACAGUAUAUCAACUACCCAUACCUGACCCGGUCCAUAAACACCUCUCUCUCUCUCUCUCUCUCUCUCUCUCGAGUUCAACUACUAUACUAUUAUGAGUACUCUCUCUCUCCCUCUCUCUCUCGAGUUCGGCUACUAUUCUAUUAUGAGUACGAUAACCUUCGUACUCAUAAGUCGUUUUCAAUGAUAGAGCUUCCAAAUCGACGAUCCAAGCUUGAAUUUAAGAACCCUAUCCCCCACUUUUGGGGAAUCGUUCGAUUUUGGCCGUUCAUUCUAUACCCACCUGAUGAACUUUAUUAUAAAUUUGAAAAAAUAUGAAAAUCGAUUUCUAGAUACUUCAAAUGCUCUAGAUCAUGUUUAACGUAUAAAUCAUCAAUUUAGAAGCUCCAUUAUCGAAAAUGGCCUCUGUACUCAUAAAGAGUAUAGUAACCACUCUAAAUAUAUAUAUAUAUAUAUAUAUAACUUCUUACAAUCCAAAGCAAUUCAAACCAAACCAAAGCACGCUAACUUUGUGGUGGAUUGUGUUGAAUUAUGUCAUUCGUGUCAAGAAUUGCCGACCAUACUUUGUGCGAGUAUAGCGCAUCAAACUGUAUGACAACAGACUUAAGUAGGUGUGCCGACACCUUAAGGCUUAGUGGUUGCCUUACCUCAAGUGUGUCUUUCCAAAACUAGCAACUAAUCAACAUAUUGCACCUAAGUGCCAUGCUUAAAGUCUUAAGACUAAAAGUUUUGUGUGCCAAAAGUACACCUUUUAAACCAUGCUUGUAACUACCAAACCAUCCUCACUUUCUAUGAUACCCCUGAUGUAGACCGAACCCGACCCGUCUCAUCGCCCAAGUUUCAGGUCUAUCAACGAAGGCGGCGCAAGUUGGCACCCGAACCCGCUAUAUGGAUCUGAAGAUUAUUCUUGAUUUACUCUGUUAUUUUAAGAUUUUUUUGUUAGGAAUAUUUGUUAUAUUUUUCUUUUAGAUAAAUCUCUAGUUAAGAUUUUUCGGUUAUUUUCCUUUUAGAUAAAUCUCUAGUUGAGAUUUUUUCUCGGAUGUAAUUAGGAUAUAAAUAACCUACAAGGUUUUAUGAAAAGGGACGAUUAUUGAAUAAAAUUUUGAACUUUUCUUGCAAAGAGUUUUGGGUGAAAUUUUUUUUCCCGGAAGGUUUUCCGGUUCUGGCGAGGUCCAGAGUUUUAAUAUUUUGUUGGAUCUGAGUUCCUCUUAAUUUUCUGUAAAUUUUGACUACCUAUUUGUGAGGUUUGGUUAAGAUUUUAGAAAAUAGAGGGGUUGAUAGUUGAGAGAAGAGAGCUUGUGCAAGCAACAGGAAGAUGAAGUUGGAGACGAAGUUCCUUGGGCGCACCUCCCGAGGUGACUUUAUUUCCUGCACACGUCAUCAAGUUCUUGCGCAGGGAUUGAACCAACAAGCAGCAGCCUACAUUGGAUGAACCCGGUUCACAUCACAAGCUAGUAUUUCCUUCUAUAUUUCAAUUUACGCAAAUUAUCUAUUAGUAAUAAAAGCUUGGUCUAUAGAAUGUUUUGAUUUCUAUUUUUUUUCUUUCUCGGAAAAAUUCGUAGACUUGUUUUAUCGUCCCAAAUUUUAGAAAAUUGUUUAGUCUCUUUGAUCCUGCAAGAUACUUGAUUAUUAUCGUUGGGCGAAAUUCGAUUACGCGGUAUUUACAAGUAUGGUACAAUCUCCUAUCUCAUCAAUUUUUCUUACUUUAUUAAUUUUCUUUUCGAACGUUCUUUAAAAAAAAAAAAAAAUUGCUUGUUUAAUUUUAUCUCUACAAAAUAUUUUGCCUACCACAUCUAAGGAGUAUUUACUUGUAGGAUAGGUUUAACCCGUCCUGCAUCAACCCCUCCAACCACACAAAAAUCACCAACUAGCCACCACUGCCUCCAUAACCCCAACAGCCCCCACAAACCAGCCCAAAAACCCACACCCUAAUAAACCUUUGGGCCGAUUGCCAAUGAUUUGAUAGAUUUUUAUGGCUAUAGCCUGAGAUUGCGGCAAAACUGAAACAACAAGACUAGGCCUACAAAAGCAAGGCUAAUGGCUAUGUUUGAAAAUGUUAGUUUCUCUUAGGACUUGAAUUGAAUAAUACUUUCUCAGUAAAUUAUUUUGGACAAAACGCCUCUCAAUAUCAAGUUAUGAUAGAAGUCCAUAAUAUCUUUUAAUAGAUAGUGAAAAACAAACUACUAAUUUGCCAGUAACAACGACUCACUAUUCUCGAUAUGAUUGAUCAAUCUAACCUAGUUUUGCUAACCACAGUUCACAUAUUGAAGAACAAAGCUCGAAUCUUAUGCUACUAUAUUAAGUAGACAAUUUUUUUUCUUUUUUUUCCUUCUUUCGAGAAUACCAACACAAGAUGCCGUGGUUUCAACACAAAUAGCUCUCAUAAGAGAGUGGGAUGUACCAAUCACUAGGCUCCACAUCUUGCUUAAAGUAUAACAAGAAAAAAUCACUAACAAACCAAAAUAGCUAGAUAGGACAAUUCGUAAGCAACAACAAAUAUAAGUUUGUGGCUCAACAAGUACGUACCGCACAAGUGGAGCAGAAUUGUCUGGAUAACGAGCUCGCAAGUUAUCAAUUUGAGGCGAAUCAAUUAACGGACCUCGAUAAUAUGGAUCAUCACGGGGAAAGGGAGGUAAUCGAACACGUCGAAGCUCCAUUAAAGGGGGUGGACGUUCGUGAUGCAUAUAAAGUUCAUUUGAAUCUAAAGAACCUUGAUGGAUAUAUCGAGACUCAAUAGGUGGUGGUGGAGCAUAUGGCAAUUGUCUCGCUAGAUAAGGGUCCUCAGAAGAAGGCCGUUGAGUUCGAUGAGGAGGCUGCCUAUCCUCGACAUAUUGCAAGGGUGCUUGCACUUUAACCGGGCGAAACAUCAUAAUCAACUUACGGACCUGCAAACAAGCUCAAAAUAAGAACUUAACUACAUGGCAAAUCACACUAGUCAUUAAAUAUCUUGAAAUUUCUUAUGCCACCAAUUCGAUAUCCCACAAUUGAUGCAUUGAUCUAAAAUUUUUGUAAGAAUAAAGUUCGACCAUCAAUUGUUGUUCAAUUCCCCUAACAAAGAGAUUUCCUGCAGAUAGUUCAAAUUUUGCAACUAUCAAAUCGAGCCUUGAAGUGCUAUCCAAAUUUUCCUCGUAGAGGGCUCAUGCUGGCACUAUGAGGACCAUUUCCAGACACAACACAAGUUUAUAGUUAAAUCAACUCAUUGAAACCCUGUUUAGAUGUUAGAAUAAAUUAUCCAAUGAUAACUUAUUCCAUAUAAGAAUUUUCUAGUAUAGUUGUAAGCAAGGAGUUUGAUUUUUGCUCCUUCAAAGGCCUUACUAUAUAAUAGCAUAUUUCACCUACAAGAUGAUUUAUCUUAUCCAAAAAAAUAACUUAAAGGUCGAAUAUAAUAUCCAAUUAUAAACAUUUGAUCACAUUUUUUAUCAAUCGAACGUACAAAUUUCUUGAAUGUAUUAAGGAGAUAGGGAUACACUAAACAAGAUAUUCAUGCAUCCAAACAGGACCUAAGUGUCGUUCAUGCUUCUCAAUUUAUUGAUGAUGUGGUAGUUGAAUCUAUGAGUGGUAAUUUCAACAACGGCACGAUUGCACAACUUGAACACGAUAUUAAACAGCUAUCAAAAAUCCAAAAUCAACAUGCCAUGAGCUCAUCUAAUCAAAAAAUGACAUGAGAGGUUGAAGCAUCAACAUUAUUUCUGGGAGAAAUUCAAUAAGAAAUCUAUAGAAUAAAUUGUUUGCACUUUGCUACCAUAUAGUUAAGUGCAGCACUUCUCGUCUAUGGUGACAGUUUUGUCUUUUCACAAGUCCAUGUUAAAACGUUUUGGAUGGUAAGCAUGUGACAAUCACGUAUCUUAUUGAAACACUGUUAUUCGUCAAAAAACCACAAUUAUAUAGCUCGAUUGUGCCUUCCCACUCUAUGGUUCAACAAUCCCUUUUAAAAGGCAUUUUAUAGUAGAUCCUUAUAGAAAACCAAAUUUGCGUAUGGUUCAAGUCCCUUUUUAAAGGCAUUUUAUAGUAGAUCCUUAUAGAUCCUUAUAAAACCAAAUUUGCAUCUACAAGAAGGCAAAGUACUCACACUGAGCAACAAGCAGGGCAACACUAUAGGUUAUUUUUAACACUCAGAGAUUUGCUCCAACAAAUUUAAUGUUUCGAACCAUUUUACAAGAUCUCCAUAAAAUACACACCUUAUUCAAAGAAUGCAAAUCACGAACUGGAAUAGCAGCCACUGUGAAUCACGUCAUCUCCAAAACUAGGCACAUUCAUAUUUACCAUGUCAUACGAACCACUAUAAAUAGUCUUGGAAAUAAUGUGGUAAUUGAUUCAACAAUUCUCAAUUAGUGAAAUUGAACAACACAUAAUAGCCGAACACAAUUGUAUCAAAAAAUGAAGUUUAAUGCACCAAAAACAAGAAAUCAAAAUUGAGCGACUUGCGUGAAAUUUCAAUGUUAGUUUAGUGAUCAGUGAUGUAAUUUACUUUUUUAACUAAUGAUAAUCUGAUUAGAGCUCAUUAAAUAUGGUGUUUUCUCUAAUUACCAUGCCUAUGUAAUCAAAAUCCAUUGAACCGAAUACAUACUUGUUUUGAAUUGAGCUCAGAAGCGAACUUGCCCUUUGAAUCAUAGUUCUCCUUUAUAGCUUGUUUAAAAGUACGCUCAGGAAGAGGUAGACAAUCCCUGUCAAUCUUAAAUUUGACCUGCACGGAAGUAUAAUAUGUUACUUUUGAGAUGGGAAGAGAGACAUAGACUUUAUGGGCUUUCACAAGACAUAGCGAGCUUUGCAAGUCGGAUUAAGUGCUUAUUUGGCCUUGUUUCUGCUUCUUUUAGCAACAAUCACCUUUAGCAAAGUGUUUGGUAAACAGAAAAGUCAAAAGCUUCAGCUAUGAAAAGAAGCUAAAACAAGAUUUGAGCUCCAAACUAUAAAGCUCUAAUUUGGAGCUUUUGCUUCUACCUAGAGAAUGUUGAAGAGAUCUUUAUAUAAAGUUUCUCAAAAUAGCACUUCAUUGAAAAACACUACAUGUUACCACAAAGCCAAGAGGCUCGUACCUACCAACAAUAGUUAUUGCAAAUUUUUACCCAGCUUUUGUCGCUGCUUAUAGCAACUUCUCCAAACAAACAUUUAGCAUUUUGAUGUUACUCUUGGGGGGCAAAACUAGUUUUGCUAAAAUUUAGGGCGUGCGCUAGUUUGAAAAUUCUAAUUUUGGUUGCGACCGAAAGCAAAUUAAGGCAUUUUAACUAAUACAUCUAAAAUACCUAACCAACCCUAAUUGAAUGUCAAUAAUUUGUACUACCCUAUCCCCUCUCUAUCCAAAAUCCUCUUUUGUACUACCGUAUUCUCCUCUCCGUCCUCUCUCUUCUCCUCUUCUCUCCUCUCUUCCUCUCCACUUUCCACCUUCCCAUUCUCUCUCUGGCUCUACCUUCUCUUAUCUUAUUUAUUAUGUUUCUCUAUCCUCUCUCUCCCCUCUAUGCCCAUUCUCUUUUCUCUUCCUUUUACUCUCAUUACUUUCCUAUUUUCUCUACUCUAUUUUGACUCCCUCCUCAACUAGGUUGCCGCUUCAAAAAAGGUAUACAAUUAUUUUCAUCACUCCACAACAAGUAACAUCACUUCGACGCAAAAUUUGCCCCAACUUUCAACGAAGAGCUGUUAAAAAACUAUACACCAUUCAAAGCUUCAUUGAACAACUCAACCUAUAGUCAAGCCAAUCAAAUUCUUAUCCUGAUUUCUGCAACUCGCUUGCCAAAGGCGGUCAUACCCUUUAAGACUAAUAUUUGAUACCCUCAAUACAACGAGUCAAGCAAGCAAAGAGCAUCUAGAAAAAGAAAAGUAUGCACUAAUCCUUAGGGCCCCGUUUGGUUCGGGGGAUAAGCGGGAAUAACGAAAGUUAUCCCCGCUAUUCCGCCAAACAGGGUGAAAUUUGGCCGGGAUAUUUUAUCCCGGUCAAACCUUGCUAUUUCCGGUUAUCCCGGAAUAGCAAGGGAUUUGCUAUUCCACCAUUUUGGUGGAAUAGUGCUAUUCCAAUACUUAAUUUCAAACUUAAUUAAAAUUAUAAAUUAAAUUAAAACUAAAUUAUAUAAAUAUAAUAUGUUAUAUAUUAUAAUACAUUACUUUUAUUAUAAAAUUAUUAGUUGUACUAUAUUAAUACAUAUUAUUUAUAUUUAAAUAUUAUAAUAAUAAAAUGUAUAAUAAAUUAUAUUUAAAUAUUAUAAUAAAUUCUUUUUAUAAAAUUUAAGUAGAAUUUUAAAAAAAUUUAUAAAUUUAUUAUAAUAAAUUAUUUUUAUUAAUUGUUCCCACCUCUAUUCUUAUUUUAAAAUUUUAAAAAUUAAAAAUUUAAAUUUUUAAAAUUUAUAAUUUAUAAUCUCAAAAUUAAAAUUUAUAAUUUGAAAUUUGAAAUUUAAAUUUUGAUAUUUUAAUUUUUGAAAUUUAAAUUUUGAUAUUUUAAUUUUUGAAAUUUAAAUUUUGAUAUUAUAUUUUUCAAAUUUAAAUUUGAUCUCAAAUUUAAAGUUUGAAAUUUAAAUUUUAAAAUUUUGUAUUUUAAAUUUGAGAUUUUAAAUUUCAAAGUUGAAAUUUUAUAUUGAAAAAUAUAAAUUUAAAAUUUUAAAAAUUUAAAUUCAAAUAAAAUAAGAGGAUAAUAUGAUUCUUUUUUAUUUAUAAAACUCACUUUCUUUCUUAUUUCAUCUUACCUAACCAAACGCUAUUUUUUUUACUCACAGAAAUAACCCAAUUUUCAUCCAAAUACAAAAUUGAUCUAAUCCCCAUUUAUACCUCAAUUUACACCUAUCCCUGGAAUAGCCACUUUUUACUUAUCCCCGAACCAAACGAUACCUAGGAGUACUUAGGCUUUAUUUCAAGCAUUCUAAAUUCCAAGAAAAUUAAAAAAAAAAUCACUACAAUAUCGAAAAAAAGCCUCCAAUAUUCUAGAAGACAUGCAAACCAAUUAUACAGUAACUAUUGAGGCAUAUAUUCUUCUAGCUAUAGAUCAAAGAAAGUCUCCAGUGCUAUUGACCAAAUUUUUUAGUCUAAACUACCAAAGUACAAUGCAAAACUCAUAAUAAAGCCAGUAUUGAUCAAAACUAGAAUCAAUGCAACUAGCAUUUCCACAAGGAAAACUCAAAGACUAAAAGCUCAGCUUCACUCCAGCAUUAAAAUUUCUCCUCCAUUAAAAUUAGCUUCGCACUAAUCUUAUUUGGCCAAUACUAACCAAAAUAAGCAUUUCUCCCUCCAUCAGUUAUCUUAGACUUCAUAACUACAAAACGGGCACACACAGCAUUCGCUAUCAAAUAGCAGCUACCAUGCAAAAUUAUAGUAAUAAUAUGUCAGCUCCAUGCAAACAAAUCUAUGUAAACACAAACAUAGCCUUUUUGCUAAUCAAAAUAUUAGCUUCUCAGCAAAUUUCUCUAUCAACUCAAAUCUAUAUUAGCUAAGAUGACGCUAAGGGUUACGUACUCCCCAUGCAAGCUUAGAAAUUCCAACUAAAGUGACACUAAGGAUUACUUACCUUCCCAUGCAAGCGUCAGAAGUCUCCUCUAGCUAGAAAUAGUAGCAACGACAGUAACAGGCCUCUCCUUUGAUCUUCUAAUCAACCUUUUUUUAACUUUCGAGUGAAAUAAGGUCAUUAUCGACGAAAGCACAUAAUGCACACCAGAUGAAAUCCAUGCUACAAUUUAACAAUUGGUCUAACAAUAAAACCAAGAUGACAUCCAUGCUACCUUUUAGGUUACAGCAAGAGGUAGAAAGAGAAGAUUCUUCCACAAAAAGAAAUAACAAAACAAACAUAAUCCGCUCUUGCCAAACAACAUUCUCUAUCAAAUGGUAUAACGGCCGAAAGAUGGCAUCCAAAGAUAGUGAGCUUAGUUUGCUAAAACUCCCAUUAAGAUGGAAAUAAUAGUCUUUAGAGCUUCUCGACAGAAUCAUACAAAUGAAAGUAGCAACUAAUAUCAAAAUAAUUGCAGGGAGUCUUGAAGUUCAACCUCAAGUCUUAAUUUCCCAUUUGCUAACUAAUGACACAAAGAUCAACAACCCUCAGAGUAUUAGCUGAUACUACAGUAUCAUUGGCCAACCAAAAAUUUAUGAUACAAUACCUGUUUCCCCACAAAACACUACCGGUAAUCACAACUAUUCGACUCUUCUGAAUCUUAUGUUCUAGCUGAAGUCCUACUCGUCAGGACGUGUAAGCAGCAGUCGGCAGUUUUCCGAAUCAUGAAGACCUUAGAUAGUGUUCCACUGCUCCACCAAACAUUCCUAUACACGUAAGCUUCAAGAUGCAAUAUUUUGAAAGCUUUUGUUGGACCAUCUUGCGGAAGUAACUAUCAUUGUAUCAGCGUGCAACAAGCCCUAGAGCGCACGUGCCAAAAUUUUCCAGGAAUAUAAAAUAAAGUAAAUACUACUUGCAAUGGCCUUUGUUUGUCAAGCCAUACAAAAAUAGUAUCUAAUCCUCGAUUGGCAAAUACUAUCGACUUCAAAAAAAAUUCUGAUAUUAAAAAAGGAAAGGGAUAUUAAAGCAAGAAAACUAAUCCAAGGAAGUCAAUGGAGAAGAAGACACAGUCCAAAGGACAGAUGAAGGGAUCCUUUCGAAUCCGCAUUAAUUACUAACAUGCAAGGUGCCUUAAUCACCAAAUAAGAUUGUAUUUAUCGAAUCACUCCAACUUGAUCUUCACAUUCAACAAUUGGAAAGGAAAAUAGAGAACAAUCAACAAGCACACUAGAGUUAUAGGACGAAACAAGCGUACCUGCGAAGGGAAAGCGCCUCUGAAGGCCUCCCGAACGAGGUUCAACCCACCACUGGAGGUGGCCUUGUAGACCCCGUAGAGAAGCUUGAGAUCGAAAUCGAAGAGGAAGAGCUUCGCCCCGGGCUUGAUCUUCUCCACCGCCUCGAUCUUCCCCUUCGGCAUCCCGAACACGCGGUGGCGGAAGCACUCCGGCUUCGUCUUCCCGCUGCACAAGAAGAUGAACCCGGAGCUCUUCUCCUGCGUCACCUUACCCUUCUCCUCCCCCUUCUCCUUCCCCUUCUCCUUAUCGACCCUCUUCUCCUUACCCUUCUCCUUAUCAACUCUACUGCCACUCCUCUCACUCUUGUCCUUCCUGAUCUUCUUCGAAGGGGCCGAUCCCGGCGGCGUCGGCCGCUCCCGAGACUUCCCCGCCGAGCCGUCGUUCUUCUCAUGCUUCUUCCGCUUCACCAUGGCUACGACCUCCGCGGACGCUCUAGAUCCAAACGAAUCCUAACCCUAGAGGGAGAGAGAGAGAGAGAGAGAGAGAGAGAGAGAGAGUAAGAAGGGUUUUUACCUGAGAACUCGAAAGGAGAAGCGGAUUUGGGCGCAGUACGAGGCGCAGGUGAUGAUGGUGGUGGGAGGAGGCGGAGGUGAAGGGUAUUAAUACACGUGGGGAGAGGGAAUCAACGGCUAGGAUUCGAAUUUCAAAAUGGGGCCAGGCUCGGAUGGUCGGCACGUGGCUUUCGGAGAACCGCGUCAUCGCGUAACGGGUGAACAAAAUUUAAUGAUGGACCCGGUUUACCACGUCAUGUCGUUUGAAUUUGGAAUUUUUGAAUUUGAAUUUGAAGCUCCAUGUAGCUUCCACUUUGGGAGUGUGUUACCGCGUUCCACAUAUUGCAAUGCACGGCAUUUGAUCGGAAUGCUGCUUUUAAGAGAGCAUCUAAAUUGAUAAUUUUUUGGUCAUGAGCGAGAACGAUAAUAUAUGUUCAUAGAAAACUAUAAUUAGUCAAAAUCAACGGAAAAAAAUGAUAAGUAUAUUUUUUUUGUUAAACAACAUCGAUCGAAUGCGUGGCAACUCUACAUGUGCAGUGCCUCACUCCUAAACAGAGCAAUUGAGGAUAGUAAUUAAUUGCUCAAAAUAAUGGUAGUUGAAUUAAUACUUUGAUUAGCUAAAAAAUAUACUCAAAUAGAUCAUUAUGUAGUGAUUGCAUACAAUCAAACUUACCAUAUGUAAUUCGUGCAAAGUAAAUAACUAAAUAUACUCGGCUGACUAGAGGUGAUGUUGAUCUAAAUAUAAUACCAAAAACACCAAAAGCAUACAACUGAAAAAUUUUAUAUCUAACAAAAUUUUCGAGAAAAAUUUAUUAAUCUUUUGAUGAAGAACUAGUCGAGAAGAACAUCACUGGAUAAUUCAUUCUGCAUCCAAACACGACAUUAAGGAGAAAGGAAAGAGCCCUACUGAGAAAAACACAGGAAACAAGAGGCAGUGUAACAAACAGAAAACCCAUACUACAAAAUUCAUGCUGUAUAGAUGCAUGUAAUAUUAUAUUGUAUCAUCAAAGGAGACAUACAACAACAGACAUUCAAAUGCGCAAUGAACAAGCCUGGUGGAGCUCACUUUACCAGUGCUCAUACCCAACACAAGAAAAUCAGAAUACCAACGAAAGAAGGAAAAAAAGAGAUCGAAUGAAGCCAAAAAGGAGCAGAAAGAAAAUGCAGGGCUAGCUUUUCGCAAACUGCAUAGACCAUAGUAGUGUCUCAUCCUCCCUCCCUUUCUCUAUAGAACUCCUGUACAAAGUAUAUUAUCUCUCAUACAAACUAUCCAAAAACUCAAAAAUUCCCCUGCGCCUUUCGCCCCUUUGUCUUUAGUCAUAUUUUUGUACAAUCUGCGCAAAAUCUUUGAUGAUUUGAUGACCCGUGAGAGAAGCUACCGCUGCACACUCCGGACUCGAGAAAAGCAAAAGGAAAUAACCCGAGAAACAGGAUACAUAUAGCUCAGUUUAUAUGUUUACUUCUUAUUAUAGGUUAGUGCCUGAUGGAACAGCUUAUUUCACUCCCGAGUCCUAGGAAGAAGUUGGAGGAGCGUCGAGUCCAUUGGUAGAAGAUUCUCCAUUAGCAGAGCUUGAUGGGCUUCCCUGAUGGGUUUCUUCAUUACUCGCGGACGAUCUGCUUCUCCCAGACCUUGUGCGGACAUUGUUACCCACAGGGAAGGGUUCCUGUCGAAAGGAAAAAAACCCCGUCAGAAUUUUUUUAUGCUUUACAGUGUGAACAACAAAUACAUAGACAGCUGUGCAGAUGUAUAUGUUUUCCAGGCCGAUGUGUGAAGUACAUCUAUGAUUUUCACGGAAUGAUAACAUUUAUUAAAAUCAGAGAAUGUGAUUGUUAAAAUUUAUCUCUAAGGACGUAACGAUCGGGAUCAAACUUCAUGGACUGAUUUUGCAAUUAGCCCUUUAGAAAAAUAUAGUUGCACAGUAACCGAAACCACAACGGCUGUAUUAAGGCAUAGGAACUCAUUGUUUAUAAAAUGCAUGUAUAUAAGAACUCAAACCUGGUCGCCUGCAUUUGGGCCCUCUGAAUGGAAGAGAAUAGGGCGGCAUCGUUUAUCCUCAUUCAUCAAACUCGAGUUCUGGAAAUGACCAAUAAGAGCAGCUUUUCCUUGGAUUCUAGCAUAUGCAAGCGAAGCCACCUUUUCACUGUUGAACUUCUCCCAUUUUUUACCAUUAAAUGACUGCAGAAAAUUCAAUAAUGUUCUUUAGUGACUUCAUUUUACGUGCCUUCUGCAGUAAAGAACAUGCUCACAAUGGAAAAGGAAAAGUUCUAAUAGUAGAUUUGUUCAAGCUAAAACUAGCAGCAAGAAAGGAAAAAUAUAUAUAUUUCUUAAUUAGUAAUUUAUAAUGGUACCUAUAGUAAAUAACUAAAAAAACUCGUACCAAAAUGCUAAAUAAAGAUAUAAAAACCAAACCUGAUAAAAUGGAAUGAUAUGCUGAGGAUUGAUCAUGUUGAUAAAAGCAUAACCCACGUUACAUUUGUUCUGAAACGUAGAACAGAAAGCAUACAGUUAGGAAAUAAUUAAUUUGAAGUGAAUAUUUCCAUUCAAAGGACGUGCAGCUCCUAUUUAUAGUUGCACCUACCUUGAAAUCAAUGGGCAAAUAGAUGAAAUCAUAAGUCCCCUUAUGAUUUUCAUCAAUAGUAGCCAAAAGCAUCUUAGACGUGUACCUGUUGAUAUUCAAGAGAGGUCAAUUAGAUUCACUACAAUAUUCCUUGCACAUAGAAGUUAGCAUUAAAAAAAAGAGGCAGAAGGUGUAAUUAAUAUACUUGUUGGGAAUAUUUUUUAUCAUGAGUGUCGUCCGAGAGUCUUCACCACGCAUGAUCUGUUCGAUAUCAAGCUCGUAUUGCUUCUUAUUAUCAGGCUGAUUAGGGUUUGGAUCACUUCUUCGACUCCUCAUCCGUUCAUUAGCAGCACCAAAUGAAGCAGGCAUAGGAAUAACGGGAUUAUUCCUAGCAUGUAACAAGUGGAACCUGUGCUGUGGCGAGGGAAUCCCAAUAUGUGCAGAACAGAUAGAUUUCAUCGAAGGGUCAAAAUGGCUUCCUCCAUUAUGGGGGAAUAUGUUACCAGGGCUGCCAGGAAAAGCCAUAGUUCCAAGAGAUGCUGGGUGAAAAGUCAGUGCUUCUGCUGAAUAAGCUGAAUAAGGGCUUUGUUGCCGGUCCCAGAAAGAUGGAGCUGAACCAACAUGAUGGUUUUGUACAGGAACAACAUUGUUCAGCAUAUGAGAUGGUUGUCUUUGAAUCCCGUGCAUUUGGGCAGAAACGUUGCUUGCGAAUGGUGACGAAUUCGGCCAUAACAUGGGAGAAAGAGCAUGAUGGUGGAAAGCACUUGAUGAAUUGUUCCAUCCAUACUGGUGCCCAUGCAGCGGACAGCUUCCAUUUCCAGAGCCUACAAAUGCUAAGGAAUAUAAUGUAAGCUAUAGUACAGGAAUUUUGGUUUGAAAUGAAAAUAGACAAGCAUAGAAAAAGUAACACCACAAUGCUUAGUUUAAACAGCAUUUUACGUAUGGCAAUUACAUAUAUAAUUCUGCAAAAAUAUCUACUUUCAUAUGUAACCAUUUAAACCUCUGACUUUCCAUAUGUACUCCCUCGAAAUUGCAGUUUCUCCAUAAAUAGUGUUAUCAUCGAGUUGGGGAUUAUCCUAUUCAUCCAGAAGCUUGUUUUGUACAAGAAAGCUUUUUAAUAGGGGCAUUUUUCUAUAAGACAUUAUCUGAACAGCAUAUAUGAGAAUUUAGAAUUUUCAGGGACACAUAAGUAAAGAGAUAAUCUUUCAGGGGUGUACAUAUGUAAAUAUAUCCUUUUAUGUAAAAGAAGAUAGAUGAAUAAUAUGUUGACCUCACCAUUAUUGUUAUGAUCAAAGGAAUGGCCAUUGACUUUAUGAAGAUGUCGGUUAUCUGCUCCUUCAGCAAGUCUGGAGUUAAUAUUAAUACCAACGGCCGAAAUGGCAGUUGAGUUGUAAGGAGUGCCGUUGACUACCCCAUUAUGAUGCUCUGGCAAUGAAUGAGGAUGGAAGGGAGGGAUGCCUUGAAACCCUAGCGAAUGGCUGAGCUCAUGAAGAGACUGAUUACCGUUGUGAUGAUUCAAUGAUGCAACUCUCACAGGGGAGGAUACAUUGUGAAAUGCUUUCCCCACAAAUGGGCUAAUUGGUGCUCGUAUAGACGAAUGUAAACCGUUGAUAGCACCAUUUUCGAUAUUAUGAGAUUUGAUUUCCCCUGGAUAGCUCCCAUGAAUCGCUGUUAUCGAAUAAAAAUUUGUUGGAAAAAUGUAACAUAACGUCAUUCAGAAGGAAGAAAUUAUUGCCUGGACCUGGUCCACCACGUCAGAAGUGCACCGCUCAGCCAUCUCCCUCUAUUCCAUCCCAUUAGGUAGCAGGCAUUUAAUUAAAGGAAUGAAGGAAUCAAGUGAACAUGGCUGAGCAGCACACACUUGAAGUGGUGAACCAAGUCUAGAAAUGAUCUCUUCAGAAGGUAAAGGAACAAUUUUCCAUACCAAAGCAUGCUGAUGGGGAGUUGUUAGGACUUCCCUGCCUGAAUUCACUAAACUCUUCCUGUUCCAGCUCAGGAGAUAAUUGCUGAUUCAAGCUGUCAUAAAGAAAAAACUUGUGAGCUUCUGUGAAACUAACUACAAGAACGCAACUAUUUUAAGAAGUAAAUUAGUUGAGUAUGGGCAAUCUAGAGCUUGAAAAGAAAUAUCCAUGUCUCAUGAAUUGCAGCAUCAGCAAGGAAAUAUACAAGUUCUCAGCAUCAAGCCUAAGAUUUGCAUUUUGCUUAUAACACAAGACAACUAGGAUAACAUGAUUUUUUAUAUGAGCCUGCUUUUGAUUAGAACAAUGGAGAUGAUAUAAUUGAGAAGCUGCCCUUGGAAAAUAACAUGAUGAUUCACAUUACUGCCCUCAAAAAAGGUCUCCUUUUUUCUCAAAUUUGUAAGAGAUUUAGAAUUUAUGGUUCACAAACUGAUGUGAGGUAUAAACACGUUUUUUUUAUAAAAAAAAAUUUCAAGGGUAAAGUGGUCAUUGUAACAGGAAAAGUCAAUUUUGAACAGUCGACUAUUGAAGAUGGAUAAAUUUGCAAAUCUUUAAAAUCUAGAGGGACGUAUUUGAUAUUUUGAUAAUUUAAACUCUGAUGACAAACUACAACUUUGCAGAAAUGUGAAGAAUUUUCCUCGAUGAUGGUAAAAAAAAAAAAAAAUGUACAUAACUGUAACAUAGAGAGCAGCCAAUCAGUUCAACCCAUUCAAUUAGGAAGAUAUCAGCAUUUUGGUUUUCCAAUUAGGUAAUAUAGGUAAUAUCACCAUUGUCGACAAAUUUAAUACCAUUCUAGGAAGUGUUCGAUUCAUCAAAAAUACCUGUCUUGUAAUGUUGAAUAGAGCAUUGUCUACAAAAUGAUAGACAUUUCUGAAGAGUUAUAACAAUCAUUGGAGAAGUUAAAGUCGCCACAAUAUAAUGUCUAAACUGAAGGGGAGGAGAGAGAGAGGCUUGUUUGGGUAAUACCACUGUCUUGCACCUCCAGGGCAGCUGGGCUGAAGCUUAAUUUUCUUGCCGGCAAUAUCGCUCCUGUUUAGAGCUCGAAGAGCAGCAUCCGCUGCUCGUACAUCAUAAAACUCUAUGGAUUUAUGAUUACUUUUGAAUGGAGUCUCACCAAUCUGAAACCAAAGCCAAUGAUUAGUAUUUUGAGAUUAUUUCCUGAGGAAUUAUUUAUUUAUUUAUCUACUUAAAGAGUUCCACUUGUACACAUGGUGCAAGUGUGGGUGCAAGUGUAUACAUAUGUUUGUGCAUGUUAAAUUACAUGAAAUGACUGUUUUUCUCUACAACCUUAAGCUAGUAGAAAAUUGUAUUUUUAUAUGUUUAUAUUUGACACUCUCCCUCACAUAUGGGCUCGAGACUCUUUGAUAGGCUCAUGAAAUGGACUUUAAUUAAAUGGGAGGAAAUCAAUUACGCUCUGGUGAGACUCAAAACUCAGGACCUCUUGCUCUGAUACCAUGUUACUCAAAAGAUCGAUCUAGUAGAAAACAUGUCCAGAAAUAUAUAUUAACAUCUCCACUCACGUGUAGAAUGGAUAUGAAAGGCAUGUGGAAUUGAUAAGUGAGAUAGGAGAUGAGGAUUUAAUCCAUUUUAUAAUGUGAGAAUUUAACCCUUCAAAUAUCAAAGGUGGGGAUUGAAUCCACGACCUCACAAAGUGAAAGAGUUUAGAGUAGGCUCUGAUACCAUGUUAAAUUAUGAAAAAAUCAUUUUUCUCUAAAAGCUUAAGCUGGUAGAGAACAGUGCCUUCAUAUUUUUAUAUUUAACAAUGGUGUGUAUCAAAGAGAGAGAGAGAGAGCAAGAGAGAGAAAGAGUCAGAUUUUACAGGGACGUGCAUGUAUAAGUAAAUGCUUUUGUAGGGAUGAACAUGUAAACGACCUUAGUAUUCUUUGUGAAGCUAAGCAUCAGAGUUGAAAUGAUUACCUCUUUAAUUUCACCAUAAACACAAAAUAUCUGAUGAAGAUCAUCAUUUGUAACAGAUGAAUCAAGGUUACAUACAACGAGAGUUCCUUGAUUUAUAUCUUUCUCUGAAGGAUUUUCCUGAUGAAAAAUAACUGAACUCAGCAAAUGAAAAUGUAUCACAUUAACAGAAGAGCAUGUGAUAUAUCCAUAGGAACUGAAAGUUAAAGUAAAGAGUAAUAUAUAAGUUAAUGAUAUGACAGUUUUACACAAGAUACUAAGAUUCAUUAUAACUUCUAACUUAUAAUGGCUAGGUUUCAUGUCUCACAUUCCAUUCAUAAAGAUAAAUAAGGCAUUCUUUCAUAUAAAAUAGUUUUCGAAACCAGAUUUUUGGCAUGAUACCGGAAUAGCUACCUUCCAAAUCUAUACCAACCGUGAAGAGAGAAAGGAGCCAAUAUCCAUAUAAACUUAUAAAGCUUCAUCAACGCUGUAAAACUCUCAUAGUUUCGGAAGCAGUACUAAUAUAGAAUAUUUGAAGACACCUAGAGAACUAUGGAAUAUUUGAGGACACCUAUCCUAGCAUUCUUCUGACUAGUGCAUAGAACAAAAUUGAUAACGGUACAACAUUUAGAGACAUCCACCUUAAACAACAUCCAUACCUCAUUUUUUAUUGACUAUCAUAUAAAAAAUUUACAAACAUUCUCAAAAGUCUAUCCUAUUGAGUAUGGGGUUGAUUAAUUAAUAAAAUGAUCUUCUUCUUAAGAUAGUAGCUUCUAAAGUUACACACAACAAAAACAGCACACCUUUGAUGGAAUUGUUCGGCCACUUAUAGAGAAAGUCAUCACCAAAAAAGUGGAACAAAUUAAUCAGAACUUAACAAAUUAACGAUCUUCUCCAAGUAGUUAAAAGAAAGUAUAAAUUUAUUAAGGCCGCUACCUUCGGUAUGGAGAAGUGUAUAUCAAGCUUCCGACGUCUCAAUGGCAUGUUCUGAAGUGCCUUCAUUGCGUUCCGGGCAGACCUUAUAUCAUAAUAAGAUAUCAUCACAAAACCACGGUGUUUGCAGGCAGUGUAUAGGGUCCUAAUGUCACCAUAUUGCUGAACAGAAAAGGAUGGAAAUAUUAGGAAAUCCAAAAUUUAACCAUCAAGUAGAAAAAGUUAGAAUUUUUUAAAAAAGAAAGAAAAAAAGAAAGAAAGUAGAUACCUCAAAAAGAGCCCUUAACUCGGUAUCCUCAACAUUACUAUUAAUAUUUCUCACGAAAAGAGUUCUUGAGGGGUGUUCACCAUGAGGGUGUUCACCAGGAAAUGGGCCAUUUGGGCCCACCUGCAGCCCAUUAGAAUCUAACCCACCAUUAAAAUCACAAACACUGCUCCCAAUCACAUUCUCAUCAGCUUCUAGUUCCAGUCCUCCGCCACUGCAGAAUAUGUCAUCAUCAAUGUCAUCCCCACCGUUGGAUCGGCCAAUAUAUCCAAUAUCAUCGAAAACACCGGAUAAUAAAUCAUCAUCAUCGGGAAGGAGAUUUCCAAUAAAUUGAGCUUCAAUCUCUUCCGUGGACUCAAAGGGCUCAUCUUCCUCAUAAUUGGAAUUAACUGUAUCAAUUGACUGACCAAAAAGAACGCCUUUUGUUGCUAAUCUCACUGCACAGACACGAGUCAAAAAGCCAAGAAUAAUUUUGUUACAAUAAGAAUAAUUAAUAUUUAUCAGCUCCUAUCACAGUGAUAAAUACUAUUUAGACACACUCUUUCUGUAAGCAUUUCGAUAAUAACAUCAUCAAACAACAAAUAACAAUAUGAUCAUGUUGAUGGCGGAAAAUCUCUCCAUAAUGAAAGCAAUUAUAAGCAUCAAGAAUGAAACUGUAAAGCUAGAGAGAAGAAGAGAAGAACUCACAAUUAUUAUCAAAUAUUUCUGAGAGCGAGCUUGCACAGAGCCCAUCACUGCAGCAGUUCCCGUUUGGAUCAACUCCAUUUGCUUCAGCAAACACCGAUGCUUUAACAGACGAAUCCCAUUGCGAUCUAGUAUUUGCAUCUUGCCUCAUCAAAGGAUACUCCUGACUAAAUUUGAUUUUCUGUUCCUUAAACAUAUAAGCCUGAGGAAGUUCUAAACUGUGCACAGGAUUUGGCCCCAUGUAAUGAAGCUUUUGUAAUGGAGAUGACGAAACCGACUUGCUUCCUGAAAUUAAUGACAAACCCUCUUUUCCUGCAAAUGAUAGCCAAUCUUCAAGUUAAUGAACUCCUAAGAAACAAAGUUGAUAAAAGUAAUUAUGGCAUUAAAUUGAAUAUUGAUGGCUAAUCUCCAGCUCAUCCCUGCCUAAAUAGAUCGUAAAAACAAUCCCCAGGGCCCUCUACAGUAAGAUAACCCCAAACAUUUCCCAUGCAUGAGUUUAUAUACCCUAUCCAGCAUCUAGCCAUGUGCAUAGGGAAUUCAAAUGCUGGACCCAAUCAAGCAAGCAGGUGGUUUAUGUCCUGGUGGUUCGGUAUGUUACCUUCCAAGUCCAAAUCCAAACAAAAUCUACCCAAAGUUCAGAUUACCAUUUUCGGUUAAACUUGUAAAGUGGUGCAAUGGAGACCAAAAUAGAAAGGCACUCAUAAAAGCAAGCUAGGACGGUCUCUUGAAAGAGAAAGAUAAACCAGUAUGGUCCCCAGAAAAUUAGCUGCAAACCCCAGCCUUGCAUAUAAUCCUUGAAGCACUCAUCCGGCAACAUCAAUUAGAUACGAGCCUAACAACAGAUUUGAGACACCACCUAAUUAUAUGACUUCAAAUUCAAUUGACACUAUUGCAUUCAAUGUGAUAACAAAAGCCGGAAAAAAAAAAAAAAAAAAAAUUCUUGCAUGUUUUUUUUCCCAAAAUAUCACCCAGAACAAACUUUGUUGACCCAAAAUCAGAUGAAGUGUCAAUACUCACUGUGAUGAUCGGGUGAGGACCCCGGUUCCAGAAUCCGACUUGCCUCUGCAAUGAGAAGAGAGAGAUCAAUUAUCAAAAAUCAUAACCUACUUAUAAUACUAAACAAUUGCAAUAAAGUAACAGAAUUUCAGAGAAACUGAAGCCUUUCUUCUCAAAGCACCCACAAAAGAUAACCCCACAUAAUAAGGUGAAUUAUUAGCCUAUCAAUAACAUAGAAAAAGAUAAAUGAACCGAAAACUGCAACCUCGGUAGGAAAGGUGAUAUCUUCAGAGGGGAGGUGGAAUGAGGAUUGAUGCCUCUGAUCUAUGAUCCCAGAUGGCAUCCUGAAGCCUCCGGAGCGCGGCCACAGAAACAAAGUUCAAUCUUUUCCCAAACCCUUCCUAACCUCCCUCGUAUGAUCCCCUUCCCGCCUCUUUCCGCCUUGCUCUCACAAACACCACCUGGGUGUGCAAAUUGAAUCAGAUCGAAGCAAAAUUGCACCGAAUUUCCCGAAAUAUUGUGUGGAAAUUUGGAUUUUUCCUAUGAACUUUUUGGCGCUCAGUACGGAGAAAUUAUUAGGAAAAAUAAACGGAAAAAAAAGGAAUUAAAUGCGAGUCGUUGGCUUCAUCAAAGCAAUAGCAUGCUUAAAUAUACGCCGAUCAUAACGUUCGACCAAAAACGACGAGAGUAUGAUCAUGAAAGACUUAUUGAACUCGCACUCCAUUAAACUACCCCAAAAACUCCCCCCCUUCACCAACCCCUCCCCAUUUCCGAUCGCAAUUCCCAAAUCCACCCAACCUAACCACCGAAUUCUCCAAAAAAAGGAAGCAAACAGGCGCGAGAUACGUACCGGAUCGCUCCUUUUCCGCGCUUCCCCAGCUCGAAUUCGCAGCAAAAGGUGCCAAAGGCGCGAGUUUUAUAGGACGCAACCGCCGUGGUGUGGGGGGAAUGGAUUACGCCAUAAGGCAAGGAAGAGGAAGGCGAAGAAGGAAACGAAGAGGACGAGGAGGAGGAAGCGAAGAGGGGGAAGCGACGAAGGAGCGAAUCCCACUCCUCCGCAUCCGUGCCGUGCGCGCGCGUCCAACUCCACGAUACCCUCCCCUUCCCCCUCUUCGCCCCCCUUCCCUUUCCCCUCCAAUGCAAGCAAUAUACCCCUCCUCCUCCUCCUCCUCCUAACCCUAUCAACCCCUAGAUUAAUUUACUCGCACCUCCCCCAAUUCCGCUUCUACGCUACCCUCCCCCCCUCCCAGUUCGCAGCAUCGCCUCCGCCUCGCCGGAAUCUAUGGCGUUCUCCGGCGAGCGCCGCGAAGGAGAGAGAGAGGAGAGAGGAGAUCGGUGGGGUCGCGUGUCUCUUUGUUUAUUUAUGCAGCGUUGGGAAAAACAGGGAGAGAGAGAGAGAGAGAGAGAGAGAGAGGAGACGAAAAAAGAGCGGGUGGGGAGGAAGGGGACGGAGGAGGACGCGGUGAGUAUAAGCGCGGAGCACCGUACCACCCCCAUAAACACGAGGGCGAGGUUGGGGAGAGGUGACGGAGCGCCGUUAAGUGUUUCCUUAACGGCGUUUCCGUUGGAGACGGAGGCGGGUCGGAGUGGAUAAUAGUGCAUGGACCCAGUCCACCACUCAAUGCUUACAAGUGUACGGACGCCUGUGUGCUAACAAUAAUGUUAGACUUGCUCUAAAAUAUUCAAAAUAUAUAGAAUUUAAAUUUCAUACAUUUUCAAUAUUGAGUACGAUCGAACGGUGUCAAAAUAAAUAGCUAAAAUUUAAAAUAAAAAAGAUCUCGUAAAAAUUAUGAUGCAAUUUAUAAAAUUAGAUCAGAAGUACUAUUUUGAUUUUGAAAGUUUGAAGUGACAAAACAUACUAUUAGACUUAUGAUCACUUAAUUUUGGUUAUUGUAAUUGACAAAUUUAGAACCUUUAAUUAGUAAGUAGAUAAUAUUAAAACAUUAUAAAUUCUUCACAUGUGAAGAUAAUAUUGGAAUAAGAACAUUGCUAUCUAUUUUUUUUUAUAGGAUAUGGAAUCUAAAACAUAUGGUACUUUAGCCACUAGAACCAAUGGUAAUUAGCGAUUUUUGUAUUAUUUGAUGUGUAGUAACUUGUAUUCUUGCAUGAUAAUUAAAACAUUUAAAUUAAAACUUAAUCUAAUCUAGUUGAAUUUUGAAAUACUAAUAUUAGUAAACAAAUAUUUAAAAAAUUAUUCAAAUUUUAGUAUGAGUAAUUAGGUUGGACAGUGCUUCUCUUCCCAUCGUCUGAAAAAACGAAGCAAAAACAUGAAUCCCGUAUUUGGAGGAGUAAAAAUAGGAAAGAGCUCAUAGUCUUUGAUUUUUCAUACUAUCAUCCGUGCUAAUUUAGUUGCAAUAGUAUUACCGUCAAUGAUAAUAUAAGGUCAAAAAAUUAGAUAUUGCAAUCUUAAUUUAUUCGAUCCACUACGCCAAUCGAUUACUGAAUUAUAGUUUUUUUCUAAUACUAUUGGGUAAAAAUUUACACAUAAAAAUCACACUAUUUAUAGAAAUUUAUUUUCGUGCACCGAUUAUUCAUUAUAUUAGUUAAAAGGCUUUAAAUAUUGCAACCCCUAACAUGAAAACCAUUUAGCUGUAGAUCACAUAUAAUGUGUUAAACUUUCAUUGUAAAACCAUUAACUAUUGAGUUUGAGAAAGUGGUCCACGGUGGACCACGGUCCAGGCAACAAUUUCUCCCGAUUUACUUGCUCGGAACAAACUCCGCGGGCGAAAUGACGAAACUGCCCUUGAAUGGCGCUUUCAACGGCGACGGAGACCGUCCGAGUCUCGUCACCGUAACGGUCCAAAAUAAGCGGUGUUCGGACCCGAGUUGGUAAUAAAGUAAUUUACGCAACUUUUAAGGGUGUUUUCGUAAUAGCAGGGGAUAGUUUUAUGCGGUGCCCGGUUUAAGUUUUUUGCGGACACGCCGAGGAUAAAUAUGCGGGUACGGGGACACGUGGCUUAGUCCAGUUGGGUAGAACGUAGUUUCCUGUUAACUGUGACACAGGCGUUUCAGUUAAAUGAACGGUCGCGAUGUGAUAAGGGAACCUAUCAGACGGUGGAUAGCUUAAGGCUUAAUUAUUAUUAUUAUAUUAUUAUUAUUAUUAUAUUAUUAUUAUUAUAAUACACUGAUGCUACCAUUUUAAUCAUUUUAUUCGAUAUUUAGGAAAUUAUUAAUAUAGAAUUAAAACAUAAUAUCUGUUAAAGUCGAUGAAGUUUAAAAAUAUCUUAACUAAUUAAAAUAAAUUUAUAUAAAAAAAAACCUUUGAUGGUGAAAUGUGUCAAUCCAAAAAAUGAAAUAAAAGAGACUUAUUUAAAAAAUAUAUAUACAUAUUUAGUUUCUUUUUGUAUUAUUUUGUGGUAGUUCACGGGUUUGUAUGCGAAGAUGCGGAGGAAUCAAAUGCCAGAGGAUACGGCACAUCGACGCAUUCGAACGCCGAAUUUAAUAAUAUCCACAAUUUUCUUUUUCCGAUUUAAUUAUUUAUUUUUUAUUUAUUUAAAUGGGAAAAAUCCUUAUUCGUACGCAACAUCCACCGUUGGUUUGAUCCGCUGUGUGGAACUUUACCUAAAACGUGCGACCACCCAAUCAGAUACCGCCACGUAAUCUCCACGGACCAGUUUGCUGUUUGGGAUGUGGCAGCGAGAUCGCACGGGGGGGGCUGGCGUGUGCGAGUGCUACACGGGAUGUGGUCUUUUAAUGAGGGAAGUAACUGCAUGGACCCGGUCCACCACGUCAUCACACCCCCUUAUGUUAUAGAAAAACAAAAAAUUGAACGCUACACGAAUGUGGGCUGUUUUUAUUUAUUUAUUUAUUUAUUUACCAGAUAUUUAGAUGCAUGGACUUGGUUCACCACAUCCGCACACCAACACAUUUAAAAAAAGGAAAAAAAAAAAAAAACUUUAUUUGCUUUAAAAGAGUUACAAUAUAUCGCUCACGCUUAUUCUAUAGCUUUAUAUUAGAUGCUUCAAAAGUAUAAAUUCAAUCCUAUUAUAUAUAAGCUACGAUGUAUAAAUCGUCCUCCACGGAUACUUCUCAAAACCAAAGGGACCACCCAAUUAUAAGAAAAGUAUUUCUUUUCUCAUUGCCUAGUGCAAAAAAAAAGGAGUCUUAAUGUUCUAAAUUUUUUACCAUGCAUGUUGUAAUGUUGUAUUACAAGCUAUAACGUGUCAAAAAGAUGAGUUUAGAUUAGAGCGUUUAUUUGGUACUUAUAAAAUAGAGAUUAAGAAACCAUUCUAGUUCUAGUUUAGAAUAGGUGGAUAACUUUUAUAUUCAGCGAGAAAAGUUCCAAUUCAAUUCCGUGGGACAUCGUAAAAGAGUUUAGGAUUUCUAAAGUCUACGGAAAAAUGUCCCAAAAAUAUAAAAAAGGACAAUGUGUGAUUAAUGAAAAACCUAUGGUCCAUUGCAUAACUUAUAUUUGGUGGGACAACUACUCCUUAUCUUAUUUAGGAGUUAGCACCACCUAAUGAGUGUGGGACCAUCAUUUUAUGAUGAUGAUGAUGAGGUUCUCAUUCAAUAUUUUAAAUAAUUAAAUAAAUGUUUGAUCCCUUGAGAAACUACUCACAUUAAUUCUCUCUCUCUCUAGAUCUAAUAUUCAUGUACCCUACUCCUCAUUAAUUAUAAUCCAAUAUAAUUGGGUUUUCACACUACAACAAAAAACGGUCUAUAGCGACACUUUUAAAUAUAGGUACAUGUUAAAAAAGUGCUGCUAGCUAAAAUUACCGACACUUUUAAAAAGUGUUGCUAUAUGUGGAGUCGCUAGGUAUAUAGUGACAGUUAAAGAGUGUCGCUAUAACCUAAAAGAGUGCUGCUAAUUUACCAACACUUAUUUAAGCAUUUAGCAACCGCCGAAACUAUAUCUCGUUGGCUGCGGUGGCGGAGAAGGACGACAGUAAAGGCUCUUCAUCUAGAAUUUCAGUGGAUUGAGUGAAGAGAGAAGAAAAGAUGGUAAUUGAUUUUUCUUUUUUUUUCUUUUCUGUUUGUAAUCGGGCUAAAUGGACUGGGUGUGGUGGGUUGAGUAGCGUAAUUUUUUAUUUUUGGUUGGAUUGGGCUUUAUAUUAAGACAUUAGUAGAUGUGUUUUUAAGUUUUAGUAUAAAUGGGACACUUACUCAAAAGUGUCCCAAACAUGUGUCCCUAUAACUUAAUUCUGUUGUAGUGUCAUUAUAUGCUUUGUACCCAUAGAUGGUGCCAUAUAAUUUCAAUUUUGUUUCUCAAAUUUUAAAUCAAAGAAAAAAGAUUGAAUUUGAACAAAACAACUUGUCGAAUAAUCGACAUCCAAAUCGAGUUAGUCCAAAAUUGUAAAUUUGGGCAAAUUACUUAUCGUACUGAGUUCUUAAUUAGUCAUUGUUCGAUGUUCGAGCAAUAUUCAAUAAUCAUUAUUUAAAGUAGUUGGUUUUAAUUUUGGGAGGCUAUUACUGAGAUAAAGAGUAGAGCGCGCCCUUAGCUUCUCGUCUGUAAUAUAUUGAAUCACAUUUAGUUAGGCUCUCCCUGCAUACGAGGGGUCCUAAAAGCAAGUUCAAAAAAAAAAAAAAAAAAAAAAAAAAAAAAAAAAAAAACCUUCUAUUAAUAUACAAAUUUUAAAAUUUUUUUUUUUUUGCAAAAUGCAAAUGUAGGAGAUGAUAUAGAUGAGGUAGUUGGUUAGCGACAUGAUUUGAUAUCUUCUUGUAUAUAUUUUUAUAAAAGAGAAGUUUGUGUUUUCAUUGGCUUGAGUAUCACUAAUAGCUUGGUGCUAUUGAUAGUAUUUCAACCUAGUUUAUAUAUAUAUAUAUAGAGAGAGAGAGAGAGAGAGGGAGAGAAAGGAGGGUUUGGGGGGAGGGGGGGACGUCACACGUGUCACAUUUUGGUCCCCCAAAUCCUCCUUUAAUGUAGUAGAAAGAAUAAAAAUAGAUAUUAUGAAAUGUGUAUAUUAUAGGACUUAAGAAUCCAGGCAUAGAUGUGAAUUAAUAAAAACUAUAGAUAUAACCUUUCUCUUUCCCUCUCUUUCCCUUUCCUUCUCAAAUAUCUUUCUAAAGCUACAUUUUUUUUAAUGAAUAAACGAAGAAGUUCAUUGCAGAAUUGGCCUCCAAAAUUUAUUAGUUAUUUUAAUUAACUUUUUGCUCGUCACAAAAUGUAUUAAUUCUAACGAAAAUGAUCAUAUUGACAUCAAAAUACUAUUAUCACAUCCGCAGGCGGAUUUUAAAUAUCCGCAAACGGAUUUCAAAUUUUUGGUUGUGGUUUUUCGAUCAGGUUGGGUACGAGAAGUGACCACUUUGUCCUGCAUCUGUCUCGUUUUCGAUCAAUAUCAUUGCGUACUAAAUCAUAAAGACUUUUUCUAACCAUGUAUAGUACCUUUUUUUUUUAUUCCAAUUAUAAUUUCAACUAGAAGAGUACUAGUAAUCCACUUAGCUUUCAUUAUUUAUGCAUCUUUUGUUACUAAAAAUAUUUAAAAAUAGGAAAUUAAUCAUGUAGAUGAUGUUACUGUUUUAUUCCCUUAUUAUCCAACUCACUCUCUAGAAGGUGGUAUUUAUUAUAUUUAAUGAUAGGCCCCUUGUUUAGAAGAAGAAAAUAAGUAACUAAAUAAUUUUAAAAUAUUUUUAAUAAAUAAAAUAUUUAUGAUUGAGUCAAUGUCACCCUGCUUUUAUUUUAUAUAUAUAUAUAUAUAUAUAUAUAUAGAUGGACAUAGUAUAAAAUCAAUUUUGCCAUAUAUAUAUAUAUAUAUAUAUUUUAAUUAGAGGAAUUUUUAUUUUAGGAAAAUCAUUGGUUGGGUGAAAUUGAUGGUGAUGUUCAAGAAUGUAAGGUGGUGUCUUAUUAGUUGCUUACAAUCACAAGGGGUCACCAAAACCCAAUGCUUUUUUUUUUUUCAGAAAAAACUUCAAAAAAAAUCCGUAGUUUUGCACUUUCUCACUUUAAUACUUUGUGGUUUAAAGUGUAUAAAUUUGCCCCUCUGUAGUUUUAUUUUUGUCUUUUUGGCAGCUUUUUUCUUAAUAUUUUGUUAAAUUAUAUACAAAAAACUUCAGAUAUCCAUUUAGAUUUAUCGAAUAUUUACUUUAGUACCCUUUAAUUUUAAUUUUGUCGCCAAUUUAAGAAAAAAAAUAAUAAAAUUGAUAAUAAAAAGAACAAAAUGAAACCACAUGAGGGCAAAUUGAUACACUUUAAACCACAGGAUACUAAAAUGAGAAAGUGCGAAACCAUGGGGGGUUUUUUGAAGUUAUCCCUUUUUUCAAGACCAUUUUGAAAUAUACUUCUCAAUUUUACUUUUUUUUUAAAAAAAUUCAUACCCUCUUAACUUCUAUUUUUGUAAUUUGGGUCUUCUAAUUAGUUAAUAUUAAAAUAUUAACUUUAACUACUAACAGUUAAUUCCUAUUUCUAAGGAAGUUUGUGAUUUCAUUUUCUAUAAAGGAGUGUUUUAAAUUUGACAAAAUGACAAUCCUAAAAAUCAAAACAAUGUCAAAGUUUUUUUUUUUAAAAAAAUUAAGAGGCACAUUUCAAAAUGAGCUUUAGUUAUAUCUUGAUGCAUUUUAUUUAUUUUAUUCCUUGCAUGUACAAUUUUUUUCAUCAAUAUGUGCAAGUAUAUUUUUUGAAAGCACAAAUAGUCGAAAUAUUUAAAUGAAAAAAAAUUAUAGGCAUUAUUGAAGCGAUAUUAUCAUAUUUAACAAAGACAAACCUUGAGCAAUAAUAAUGUUCGUGUUCGCUAAUAUCGAUCACAACAAGAAUAAGAAUAUGAUAGCUUCUNNNNNNNNNNNNNNNNNNNNNNNNNNNNNNNNNNNNNNNNNNNNNNNNNNNNNNNNNNNNNNNNNNNNNNNNNNNNNNNNNNNNNNNNNNNNNNNNNNNNNNNNNNNNNNNNNNNNNNNNNNNNNNNNNNNNNNNNNNNNNNNNNNNNNNNNNNNNNNNNNNNNNNNNNNNNNNNNNNNNNNNNNNNNNNNNNNNNNNNNNNNNNNNNNNNNNNNNNNNNNNNNNNNNNNNNNNNNNNNNNNNNNNNNNNNNNNNNNNNNNNNNNNNNNNNNNNNNNNNNNNNNNNNNNNNNNNNNNNNNNNNNNNNNNNNNNNNNNNNNNNNNNNNNNNNNNNNNNNNNNNNNNNNNNNNNNNNNNNNNNNNNNNNNNNNNNNNNNNNNNNNNNNNNNNNNNNNNNNNNNNNNNNNNNNNNNNNNNNNNNNNNNNNNNNNNNNNNNNNNNNNNNNNNNNNNNNNNNNNNNNNNNNNNNNNNNNNNNNNNNNNNNNNNNNNNNNNNNNNNNNNNNNNNNNNNNNNNNNNNNNNNNNNNNNNNNNNNNNNNNNNNNNNNNNNNNNNNNNNNNNNNNNNNNNNNNNNNNNNNNNNNNNNNNNNNNNNNNNNNNNNNNNNNNNNNNNNNNNNNNNNNNNNNNNNNNNNNNNNNNNNNNNNNNNNNNNNNNNNNNNNNNNNNNNNNNNNNNNNNNNNNNNNNNNNNNNNNNNNNNNNNNNNNNNNNNNNNNNNNNNNNNNNNNNNNNNNNNNNNNNNNNNNNNNNNNNNNNAGGAGCACGGAGGCCUCCAUGCUCCUGAGAGCACAGCAGCCCCGCUCUCUCUAUAUAUAUAUAUAUAUAUAUAUAUAUAUAUAUAUAGAAUUGAGCUCCUAUGCUUUUAAAAGUAUCAAGACAUUGGUGUUUGUAGAUUUUUAGCCAUUGGAUUAAGAGAUAUGCGGUUAGGAUGAUGUGGGCCCUCUAGGGUUGAGUGGUUGGUUGGUUAAAUAGUAUAAUCUAAUGGUUGAAAAUGAUCCAUGGAGUAAAUCUAACGGUAAAAAACUUACAAGCACCAAGUGCUUGGUGCUUUUACAAGCAUCAUAGCUGGACUAUAUAUAUAUAUAUAUAUAUAUAUGCUAGGACUAUUAUACUCUUAUAAGUAUAGAUCCUUUUAUACUUAUAAGUUUUCGACCGUUGAAUGAAGGGAUAUGCGAUUAGGAUGAUAGUGGUCCCUGGUUAUGAUGAUGGCGGUCCAAUAGGAUUGAGUGAGUGGUUAGUUGAAUAGUAAAAUCCAACGGGUGAAAAUGAUCAAAGGUAGAUCUAAUGGCCGAAAAUUUAUCAGUAUAAAAUGGUCUAUAGUAUAGUAGCCGGGCUCUUUCUCUCUCUCUCUCUCUCUAUAUAUAUACUAGUGAAUUACCCGCGCGAUGCUGCGGAUACCCGCGCGAUGCUGCGGAUAUAAAAUUAUUUUUAUAAUAAAUUAUAUAUUUUUUANAUAUUUGAGAAAUGCAUAAGAUAUUUUGGCGGGUAUUACUUUUGAAUAUUUUACUAAAAAAAAUUUAAAAAUAUAAAAUUAUAUUUAAUUAAUAAUUUAGUUUUGUUUAGGUGGGUAUUAAAUCUUUUAGUAAUAUUUUACGUGAUUGGCCCAAGUAUUACGUGUAAGAAGAAAAUAUUUGAAAAACACGGAAAUAGGAGAUAACGGAUAUUUUAAUUUAUGACGCGUUUGAGAAAACGUGUGUGAGAAACAAAAUAUUUAAGGAACCCUGUAGAUAUGAUAUAACGGAUAUUUUAAGUUAUGACGGGAAUUACGUUUGAGAAAAUGCGUAGAUAUUUGUAAAAUGCGUAGAUAAGAGAUAACGGAUAUUGAGGGUAUUUUUGUCAGAAAAAGUGACAGAUACUUUUAUUUUUAAUCGUUGUAUGAGAUCCAAUGGUAAAAAUUUAAGAUCUAUAUUUGAGAAUAAAUUAUUAUUUGAAAAAUUAUUUGAAAUGAAUGGUUGCAAAUUACUGGACAUAAAAAUAUUAGUAGAAAAGAUAGAGGUAUUUUUGGAAAGAGAAAAAAUUUAAAACUCACGCUUUUAUAAGUAGUAUAGAUAGGUUUGUGUGAUUUUAAAAACAAGGUAGUUCCCUAGUAUCAAAAUCAAAAUUAUUUUUGAUGCUUGGGCUUUUGAAUCGACGAUUGGCUUCAUUAGUGUUGAUUUAGAGUAUUAGAAGUAUUUAAAAAAUAAAUUUUAUAAUUUUUCAAUAUUAUUUAUCUGGUAAUCGAAAUGGCUCAAAAUCAAUAAAUUUAAUCAAAAUUAUAGAAUAUAUAUAUAUAUAGAGUUUUGCUAGAAUACUAUCGGUAGUAAACGGCUCGGUUUACUACCGAUUUGUUUUCGAUGAUAGAGCUCCUAAAUUGAUGAUCGGCACCGUUAAACAUGAUCUAAACUAUUUAAACUAUCUGGAAAUCAAAUUUCACACAUUUUCGAUAUUGUGCUCUUGUCCAUCAAGUGAACAGAAAAAUGAAUGGCUGGAAAUGAAUAUCCUUCAAAAAGUGAUGAUACAAUUUUUAUAUUUGAGAUCUAGAGUCUAGAUCUUAUUUUAAAUAGCNCCCUUAUUAUCCAACUCACUCUCUAGAAGGUGGUAUUUAUUAUAUUUAAUGAUAGGCCCCUUGUUUAGAAGGAGAAAAUAAGUAACUAAAUAAUUUUAAAAUAUUUUUAAUAAAUAAAAUAUUUAUGAUUGAGUCAAUGUCACCCUGCUUUUAUUAUAUAUAUAUAUAUAUAUAUAUAUAUAUAUAGAUGGACAGAGUAUAAAAUCAAUUUUGCCAUAUAUAUAUAUAUAUAUAUAUUUUAAUUAGAGGAAUUUUUAUUUUAGGAAAAUCAUUGGUUGGGUGAAAUUGAUGGUGAACAGAUGGUGAUGUUCAAGAAUGUAAGGUGGUGUCUUAUUAGUUGCUUACAAUCACAAGGGGUCACCAAAACCCAAUGCUUUUUUUUUUCAGAAAAAACUUCAAAAAAAAUCCGUAGUUUCGCAUUUUCUCACUUUAAUACUCUGUGGUUUAACGUGUAUCAAUUUGCCUCCAUGUGGUUUUGUUUUUAUCUUUUUGACAAUUUUUUUCUUAAUAUUUUGUUAAAUUAUAUACAAAAAACUUCAAAUACCUAUCUAGAUUUAUCGAAUAUUUACUUUAGUACCCUUUAAUUUUAACUUUGUCGCCGAUUUAAGAAAAAAAAUAAUAAAAUUGAUAAUAAAAAGAGAAAAACGAAACCACAGGGGGUAAAAUUGAUACACUUUAAACUACAGGGUACUAAUGUAAGAAUGUGCGAAACUACAGAGGGGUUUUUGAAGUUAUUCCUUUUUUUCAAGACCAUUUUGAAAUAUACUUCUCAAUUUUACUUUUUUUUUAAAAAAAUUCAUACCCUCUUAACUUCUAUUUUUGUAAUUUGGAUCUUCUAAUUAGUUAAUAUUAAAAUAUUAACUUUAACUAUUAACAGUUAAUUCCUAUUUCUAAGGAAGUUUGUGAUUUCAUUUUCUAUAAAGGAGUGUUUUAAAUUUGACAAAAUCACAAUCCUAAAAAUCUAAACAAUGUCAAAGGUUUUUUUUUAAAAAAAUUAAGAGGCACAUUUCAAAAUGAGCUUUAGUUAUAUCUUGAUGCAUUUUAUUUAUUUUAUUCCUUGCAUGUACAAUUUUUUUCAUCAAUAUGUGCAAGUAUAUUUUUUGAAAGCACAAAUAGUCGAAAUAUUUAAAUGAAAAAAAAUUAUAGGCAUUAUUGAAGCGAUAUUAUCAUAUUUAACAAAGACAAACCUUGAGCAAUAAUAAUGUUCGUGUUCGCUAAUAUCGAUCACAACAAGAAUAAGAAUAUGAUAGCUUCUGUAGUCGAUUAAUUAUACGGUAUCAAUCAUCGAAAAUAAAAUGUACAAAUUAAGCUACCUCCAUUAGACAUCAAAUGAAAAAAAGCCAAAAAAUAUGCUAAUGAAUGUCAUUUCCAUUAUUAGUCUAAAAAAAACAAAAUAUUGCUUACUUCUCUAAUAAUUGAUUGCUUUUGUACAAGUACAAUAAUCAAAUUUGUUUGCUUUAGCAAAGAAUAAUUACUUAUAUUUUGGUUUUCUUGAAGAUGCCUGUGAAUUCGAGAAAUAAUUUAUUUUUAAAAACAACUUAUUACACACGAUUAGUCCACCAGUAGAUUAUAAACUACAUAUCAAUAAUCAUUCUCAACCAAUUUGUUCUUAUGUUUUUCAUCAGGUCUAGGUGAAGAUCGAAAUUUUAAGCGAACGAUUUGGCGGUCAGAGAGGCUGUUACAAUACAGCUAUUACCAAAUUAACCACGAACUAAAUGUUAAUACAAAGCCAAAAAAAAAAGAAAAAAAACAAGAAAAGAAACAAUUUUAUGGGGGUGUUUGGCCUAACUUUUAAAAAGAGCUUUUGAAUUGAAAAGUGAUUUUCGGCUCAAUAGAACGUCUGGCAACUUCACUCUUAAAAUAUGAUUCUGCUUUUUAGAAUCAGAAAAUUAAUUUUGAAGGCCCCAGAAUUAGAAGCAGAAAAAACCUGCUUCUUGAAAUCUGAUUCUGAAUUUAGCCAAACGCUCUACAGCUUUUAACCGAAAUUAUUUUUUCAUAAAUCAUUUUUUCAGAAGCUAGACCAAACAUGCCCUAUUAGACCUCUCGUUUUGAAUUGGGGUCUACAACUUAGGGUGAUAGCUCUACAAUGUUAAAUGUUGUAGGAAAAGAUAAAAUGAUAGAUACAAUAAAUGUAAUUAAAGGAAUUAAUGUGUCACAUUUGGGCUUUGUCCUAUGUUGCUUUUUUUUUUUUAAUAGGCCUAUGUAUUCUAGGGAGGGGCUACACCUAUAGAAGUGCACGUGCAUCGCGUGACAUAAUAAAAGCACAAUAAGCAAACAACUAAUCAAGGGCUUUUGUAGAUCUCAAGCCUCCCUAAGUGAGGAGAGUGGUAAAAAUUAAAUUAUUGUAAGCUAAAUUCAUUUCGCUUAAUGAAUAAAGCAGGUAGCUUGCUAUCUAUUUCUCAAAAAAAAAAAAAAAAAAUUAUAGAAAAAAAAAAGUUAAAAAUUUACGAAACUAAUCUGAACUAUGGUUCAAUUUAAAUCGGCAACCCUACUUUUCAAAUUUUAAUUUUAUUAUCUAAUUUUUUAAUUUGUUUGAUUUGGAUCAGCCAACGACACUUCUACUUCAAAAUAUGAAUACGCCGUUUAUCUUUAUAAGUUCAUUUGUAUACUUCAUGCAAUUCUGAUAACUACAAAUUUAUUGUCGUUGACUGACGCAAAAUAAACAAAUUGAAAAAUUAGGUAGAAAAAUAAAAUUUUUGAAAUAUCGGAUAGUUAUUUCAAAAUGGCCUAUAAUUCGGAUAAGUUUUGUAUAUUUUUACCCAAAAAAUAAUGCGCAUGGUACUCUAGUAACUUGGUAUAUGUAG